GAUCCCCAGCUAAAGGGAAUGGAGCAAAUGAGUCAUUUGGAUCCCUCUUCUUUCACUGAAAUCAAAAUCGAGGAAUGUAGUUCAUUUAAGCGCUGCCAGCUAGACCUUUUACCCCGGGUAUCCACACUUACCAUCGAACACUGUCCCAAUCUCGAAUCCCUUUGUAUAGGCGAGGGACCUCUCCCUGCUCUCUGUCAUCUGACAAUCAGUCACUGUCCUAAUUUGGUGUCUUUCCCCAAAGGAGGACUAGCUGCCUCAGAUUUGACAAGGCUUGUGUUAGAGGGUUGCUCAUAUUUGAAGUCGUUGCCGGAAAACAUGCAUUCCCUCCUCCCUUCCCUACAGAAUUUGCAAUUGAUCUCACUUCCAGAAGUUGAUUCGUUUCCUGAAGGAGGUUUACCCUCCAAAUUACACACACUUUGCAUUGAAGAUUGUAUCAAACUCAAGGUAUGUGGUUUGCAAGCACUCCCUUCUCUUUCAUGCUUCAUAUUUACUGGGAACGAUGUGGAGUCUUUUGACGAGGAGACGUUGCCCUCUACUCUUACAACCCUUGUAAUCAAUCGUCUGGGAAACCUGAAGUCUCUGGACUAUAAGGGGCUUCAUCACCUCACCUCUCUUCAGGUAUUGGGUAUCGAGGGUUGCCAUAAGCUUGAGUCCAUAUCAGAGCAAGCGCUUCCCUCCUCCCUUGAAAACCUUGAUCUCAGAAAUCUAGAAUCUCUGGACUACAUGGGGCUUCAUCACCUCACAUCUCUUCAGAGAUUGUAUAUCGCGGGCUGCCCUAAGCUUGAGUCCAUAUCAGAGCUGGCGCUUCCCUCUUCCCUUAAAUACCUUUAUCUCAGAAAUCUAGAAUCUCUGGACUACAAGGGGCUUCAUCACCUCACCUCUCUUUACACAUUGAAGAUCAAGAGUUGCCCUAAAGUUGAGUUCAUAUCAGAACAGGUGCUGCCCUCCUCCCGUGAAUACCAGGGGCUUCAUCACCUUACUUCUCUUACAAAUUUGAGUAUCAAGAGUUACCCUAAACUUGAGUCCAUAUCAGAACGGGCGCUGCCCUCCUCCCUUGAAUACCUUCAUCUCUGUAAACUGGAAUCUCUGGACUACAUUGGGCUUCAGCACCUCACCUCUCUUCACAAAUUGAAGAUCGGGAGUUGUCCUAAACUUGAAUCGUUGCAGUGGCUGCCUUCCUCCCUUGAAUUCCUUCAGUUAUGGGAUCAGCAAGACCGGGACUACAAGGAGCUUCGGCACCUCACCUCUCUUCGCAAAAUGCAGAUAAGGAGGAGCCUUAAGCUUGAGUCCUUUCAAGAAGGCACACUUCCCUCCUCCCUUGAAGACCUUGAAAUCUGGGAUUUGGAAGAUCUGGAAUUUAAGGGGUUUCGGCACCUCACCUCUCUUCGUGAAUUACAUAUCUGUAGUUCUCCUAAGCUCGAGUCCGUGCCAGGAGAGAAGCUGCCCUCCUCCCUUGUAUCUCUUCAAAUAUCAGGUCUGAUAAAUCUGAAAUCUGUAAUGGGGCUUCAGCACCUCACCUCUCUUCGCAAAUUGAUUAUCUCGGAUUGUCCUCAGCUCGAGUCCGUGCCAAGAGAAUGGCUGCCCCUUUUCCGAUAUGAUGAUAUUAGACGUUGUCCUAAACUUAAUUUGGUUAUAGGAGACGGUCUCACUAUACCAUUUUCCUAGUUUUGUACCCGCGCUCCGCGGCCGAGCGGUUAUUUCUUUUAAGUAAACAAAAAUUAAUAAAUAGGUUUUACAACGCAUUCUUUAAUAUACAAUAUUUUUCUAUCAUAAAUAGAAAUGUCUAUAUAUAUAUUUAGUAAUUAGAUCAAUAGUUGAUAAAGAGAUAAUUAAGAAUAAAAUAUUUAAUCUUACAAUAUAAAUAAUUAAUAUAUUUAGUUAUGUUUAACAAUUAUAUUUUCUAAAGUUUUUUUUAUAUAUAAAACAAUUAUAUGUGCCAAUAAAAGGUUAAAAAAAAAUCAUAUCCAAUGUAAAAUGAAGAAAAUUAAAAAAAAAAUAUGUCAAACUGUAUAAAUAUGGUAACAUUGUGACAAUAGACACAUGAUUGAGAUAAUUUUAUAUAAAGAAAAAUGAAAUAAAAAGCACAAAUACCAAUUCUAAAAAAGUUAAAUGUUGAAGGAUGAAAUUGAAAAAACACAAGGAUAUUUGAUUUCGCAACAUGGUUCAUGCACUAAGCCGUGUUUAAUAGCUUUGUUUUUUAGAAUAUAUUUUUUAUUUAAUCAAACAAUUAUCUAUGCAAAUAAAAGAUAAAAAAAAAUCACAAAUAAAAGCAAAUUGAAUCAAAUCAUGAAGUCAAUUAUAAAAUAACUCAAUGUUGAAUGAUGAAAUUAAAAAAAUAAUAAUUAAGAAAAACAAAAAAAAUAUGGGUCAACCCUUAUUAAUCCGUUAACAUUGCGACCAUUGGUACAUAAUUGUGAUAAUCCCAUAAAAAAUAUGAAGACCAACUUUUAGAAAAAUUAAAUGUUGAAGGAUGAAAUUAAUAUAUAUAUAUAUAUAUAUAUAUAUAUAUAUAUUAAAAAAUGACUAAAAAAACUACUAGAGUCAACCCAUGUUAACAUUUGAAAUUUGUAAUUGUGAUCUUGAGACCAAGACUACUCACGCAUCAGUCAAACCCAAAAAAACAACAAAGUAAAUUUCUCAAUAAAAAAAUGUUGAGGCAUGAAAAUUUCAAUAAAAAAACAACAUGAAAAAAAUAUGAAUAAACCAGGGUUAACUCGCUAACCUCACGACCAUGGAAACAUGAUCAGGAUAACCCUAAUGAAAAGAAAGUGAUAAAGAAAAGCACAAAGAAUAACACUAAAAAAAAUAAAAGUUGAGGGGUGAAAUUAAAAAAACAAAAAAAACCAAAGUCAACCGUUGUUAACUUUCAAAACUCAUGAUUAUGCUGUUGGGACUGACCAUAUAAAAGGCAAACCCAAAACAAAACAAUAUAGCAAAAUUCUCAGUGAAAAAAAGUUGAGGCUUGAAACUCAGUAAAAAAAAGCAACAAAAAAUAUAUGAGUCAACCCAAGUCACCCAUUUGACUAUGGGCAUGUGAUUUAGAUAAUCUUAUGGAAAGGAAAGCAAAAAAAAAAAAACAAUAAAACCAAUUUUAUAAAAAUUAAAUAUUGAAGAAUAAAAUUAAAAAAAUUAAUUUUAUAAAAAAGACUUGAAGAAACCAAAAUCAACCCGUGCAAACCUUUAAAAGUCAUGAUUCAAUAAUAAUAAAAAAAAAGAAGCUAAGUGAUGAAAUCAUUAAAAAAACAAUAAAAAAAAAUUAUUCAAAACAUAAUAAACAUAAGUAAAAAAAGAAUAGAGAUCAAAUUCAACACUAAAAAAAUAAAAAUCAAAUAAUGAGAAAUAAAAUCAAAACAAUAUCUAAUUAGAUUAAGGAUUAAAAAGUGUCAAAAAAAAGUGUCAAAUUUGAUCUAAAAAUAAAAUAAAGUAAAAUAAUUAGAGAUAAAUAGUAAUAAAUACUAUUUUUAUAAAAUAAAAAGAAAAAAAUAAAAAAAAAAAUAAAAAUCAAAACACAAUAUAUAACAAAAAAAAAGUAAUAUAAAUGUUUAUGUCACAUAACAACCAUUGGUUCCAAACAAAACCUGAAAAUAAAAAAACAAGACACCUGCCGUCAUUAGGUCCGGAUUUGCCUGAAAGGCAGAACUGCACAUGCAUUUUCCAUAGCAUGCCAAAGCCAAAUCAAUCUUACCCAUAGCGAGAAUUAAAACAAAACAAAAUAGUAACAACACCAAAAACAUCCUUUAUUCAUUGUUAAAGGUCUUCUGAAAUAAGAUUGGUUUCAAUGGCAAGUGGAAAUCAUAAAGAGAGCAACGAAAGGACAAAAAUCGAUCAAAAAACCCUUACUGAAAGAAUAAACAACACACCUUCGCCUCGUGUGUUCUCCAUCAAUUUGUUCAAGAGAAAAAGGACAAGAACUGUAGUAUCACCACCUCCAUCCUCUCUCAGUAGCUUCUUCUUCUCCAAUGUGCAUACCUUUUUGGUUCUCACAUGCCUCCUCUCCCUCUUCUGAAUCAUGACUACAAUUGAAGAAAACAACUCUAAUCCCACCUAAGAACAAUGCUCUAAUAUCAAAUUUGAUACGAGACAAAAAAGAUUGAAGUUGAAGAAGAAAGAAAAGAAGAAGAAGCCCGAAAAAGAAGAAAAAGCUGAUCAAAUACUAAAACCAUAACUAGAAUAAAUAAUUAAGUUUAUAAUCCACUAAAUAAAAUACUAAAAAAUAAUUAAAUCAAAUCCAACAAAUAAUAUCUAAUUAAUAAAUUUCAACUAAAAGUUCAAAUAAAUAAAAUUAAAACAUAAGCUAAAGCUUAAUCGCUUAAUGAUUUGGACUACCCUCUAUCAUUUAUGAUUAUAUGAAUACAUGUUUCGAGUCAGUAUCCCCACAUUUUUUUUGUUUUUGGUGGAAACAAAAAGAGGUGCAUAUGUUUUUGUUAGGAAAAAAAUUUCUUGCCCUAAAAUAAGAAAAAAAAGUUGCACCUAGAGGUGAUCAUUUUCGGUUCGGUUCAGUUUUUAUCAAAAAAGUAACCAAAUGUACUACAUACUUUUUACCGAUCGAACCAAAUGUACUAUAUUAUCAGUAGUUGUAGCUACUUCUGAAACAGUUGGUGCGAUGGGUGCGAGUGAAGGUGCUGGCAUAGGAGCGGCAACACUAGUCAUACCUUCCACUACUGCUUUGAGUAGCUGGGCUAGGAGCAUCAAAUCAACAUAAGAAACAAAUGGCCUUCCAAGUGUAGUCUGUGGGGGCUCCUCUGCUCGUUCCGGUAGGGUUGACACGGUCGGCUGAACAUCCCCAGCUUGCCUCGGUACUUGUCUGACUUGAGGCCCCGUCGAUUCUUCAUGCCUUGCUUGCUUCGAUACUGCUGGUGCAUGUCAAGCAGUAUCUUCUAAAAGGCUCUCUUCUCGUCCCUCGUAAAAGUCUAUAUCUCUGUUCCCCUUCCCUAUAGAGGAUAGAUUUGUUCUAAUCUCUUGGCGAGUACGUACCAUCCUGCAAUAAAUUAAUAACAUCAUUACCCUUUGUUUCGAGUUUUUCCCAAAAUCCAUACGAGGGCUCUAAUACCAACUAUAACAAUCCCACCUUUUCAAUUUCGUCAACACUAAAAGAUCCCAAUAUAUACUCUUAAUUUGAGGGUAAAUUGUUUUUUUUCUUAUAUAUAUAUAUAUAUAUAUAUGAAAGUCUACCGAUAUUUUCACUGAAAUUUUGGCAAAGUUCCCUUUGUAUUUAGAACGUCCCAAGUUAUCGACUUCUUUCAAUUUACCCAUUCAAGCCAUCAAAACAAGGUCCCAUAAUUUUGAACUUUAUUUUACAUCAUUAAUACUCAACUCCUCAUACAAUUCAUGCACACAAUUUAUACACACACACACACACACACACACACCCUACGAAUAAGAUCAAUAUAAAUAUAGCCCAUAUAUCGUAUAAUAAAGUCUAGAAGAAAAAGGGAUACUAACAUGUAAUGAGAGAAUUUAAAACAUAACAUCAGUAUUCUUAAAAGUUUCAAAGGGUUAAAAACAAAGUAGCUAAGGAGUUCUUACUCAUACAUUAUAUCAAAGUUUACAUAAUUAACAUACUAUAUGCCGAGCCAAUAGUUUUGUAUACAUCAAGGUUUACACAAAAGCAUAUUGCGUAACCUAGCUAAUACUAUUAUGCUUGAGCUAAAUGUUUUUACAUAAGUUUAGCAAAGCAGAGUCCUAAAAACUAAUGAGCUCCCUGAGUAUUAGAUGGACCUGUUACAAUAACAACUUAAUAAGCAUACAAUUAUAUUGUCAACAGAAACAAAAAUGAUCAUAUAAUGAAUACAAAUAAAGCAUAAGUUUUCUAUUAGUUUCCCAAUAAUUUUAAUAAUCAACUUAUAAAUUCUUUCAUAUAUAUUUAAAAACUCAAUUAGACAUCAUUUACGUAUUCUUAAUUGAAUACUCUUAUUUUCUUGUAUGAACCUAGUACCUUUGCCUAAUUGGUUUUACUAAAUCUUUAACUUUGCAUAGUUCCACUUGGAUAGUUUAGGUAAUUAUACUUAUCAAUUCUCUCAGGUCAUCCAAACAUGGAUACCUUUUCCGAAUCGAGCCUUAUCGAUCAUUCCCAGGCAUCCUGACAUGGACGUCAUUAGCUGAAGCGAAUCUUGUAAUUCACUUCCCAGCAAUCCUAUCACGGAUGCCAUUAGCCUAAGAUAAUCUUGAGAUUCAUUUCCCGACAAUCCUAUUACGAAUGCAAUUAGCCGAAGCUAAUCUUGUAAUUCAUUUCCCGGUAAUCCUAUCAUGGAUGCUAUUAGCCGAAGCUAAUCUUGUUAAUACACCGGACUUUGUUUACAUUAAACAUAACUUAAUUGUCAUUGUCUUCAUCGGGAAGACUUUAAAUUACAUAAGAGUAAAGGAGAGGUAAAACCACGCACCUUCUCCGCCUGUCUCGUGACCUCCUUCAACAAAAGAUCCAAUCCUAGUCGCUCCGCCUAAAUCACAAAGAAGUCUUUGGUCAUGUUUCCUUUAAGCUAAAUGUUUAAGGAAAUCCAUAUUCAUUCAUUAUACAUAUGGUACUUUCCAUGCAUGUUCAUUUCCUCAUCAUAACAUACAUAUACAUAUCAAGUAUAUAUUUUCAAGGUUUUAUAUCAACGUGCAAGUGCCCCUACGACUAAGUUUGUUUUUGCAUCAACGUAAAUUAGUGACUUAUGACUCAUAACUGGAGUCUCAUAACUUUAAAUAAAGCAAACUUUGGUCAAUAAAAAGGUAACACAUUUAUCCAUAAUUUCAUUAAGGAUCAUGCAUGAAACUCUGUCAAUAUCAAAUCACAAACCAAAAAAGAAGUUAGACAGCAAAUUUGUCCAGCAGCUUCUAGCCUAACCUCCUCUCAGUAUUUUGCCUAUAUAUGGAGUUCUAUAACUCCUAAUAAAGUGAACUUUAUACCAAUUAAAAGGUAACACAUUUAUAUAUAACUACAUGGAGGAAAAUGCAUCAUACUCUAUCAAUAUAAAAUCCCAAACCGAACAAGAAGUUAGACAGCAAAUCUGUCCAGCAGCUUCCAGCCUAGCCUCCUCUAAGUAUUUUGCUUAUAUAUGGAGUUCUAUAACUCUAAAUAAAGUGAAAUUUAUGUCAAUUGAAAGGUAACACAUUUAUAAAUAUCCACAUGAAGGAAAAUGCAUGAUACUCUGUCAAUAUCAAAUCCCAAACUAAACAAGAAGUUAGACAGCAAAUCUAUCCAGCAGCUUCCAACCUAACCUUCUCUUAGUAUUUUGCUUGUAUAUGGAGUUUUAUAACUCUAAAUAAAGUGAAAUUUAUGUCAAUUGAAAGGUAAUACAUUUAUAGAUAUCCACAUAAAGGAAAAUGCAUGAUACUCUGUCAAUAUCAAAUCCCAAACUGAACAAGAAGUUAGACAACAAAUCUAUCCAGCAGCUUUCAGCCUAACCUCCACUUAGUAUUUUUCCUGUAUAUAGAGUUCUAUAACUCCAAAUAAAGUGAAAUUUAUGUCAAUUGAAAGGUAACACAUUUAUAGAUAUCCAUAUGAAGGAAAAUGCAUGAUACUCUAUCAAUAUCAAAUCCCAAACUGAACAAGAAGUUAGAUAGAAAAUCUAUCCAGCAGCUUCCAGCCUAACCUCCUUUUAGUAUUUUGCCUGUAUAUGGAGUUCUAUAACUCCAAAUAAAUGAAAUUUAUGUCAAUUGAAAGGUAAGACAUUUAUAGGUAUCCACAUGAAGGAAAAUACAUGAUACCAUGUCAAUAUCAAAUCCCAAACUGAACAAGAAGUUAGACAACAAAUCUAUCCAGUAGCUUCCAGCCUAACCUUGUCUUAGUAUUUUGCCUGUAUAUGGAGUUCUAUAACUCCAAAUAAAGUGAAAUUUAUGUCAAUUGAAAGGUAAUACGUUUAUAGAUAUCCACAUGAAGGAAAAUGCAUGAUACUUUGUCAAUAUCAAAUCCCAAACUGAAUAAAAAGUUAGAUAGAAAAUCUAUCCAGCAGCUUCCAGCCUAACCUCCUCUUAGUAUUUUGCCUGUAUAUGGAGUUCUAUAACUCCAAACAAAGUGAGAUUUAUGUCAAUUGAAAGGUAACACAUUUAUAGAUAUCCACAUGAAGGAAAAUUCAUGAUACUCUGUCAAUAUCAAAUCCCAAACCAAACAAGAAGUUAGACAACAAAUCUGUCCAGCAGCUUAACCUCCUCUCGGUAGUUUGCCUAUAUAUGGAGUUCUAUAAUUCCAAAUGAGGUAAGACCAGUGCCAAAAGUUAGCUAACUCAUUUAUCUACAACUUUCAUAUGUAAUGUUAUAACAAUUUCAAUCGACUUCUAUGCCUAACAUUAGCAUAAUUUCUAUACUUACAUAUUUGUAAUGGAAGUAACAUACAAACAUGUUUAAGUUUCUGUUUCAGCCCUUGAUUUAGCCUUAGGAUAACUAUGUAAGGUCAUAAUUAGCAGAGAUUAGUAUCAAAUUUCUAUUCUCUUUCUUUCUACUUUCAUGGUCGUCCCUAAAGAGGAUUUGUUCCACUAAUUUCUAUCAUUUUCUUUUGUCAUAGAAGCUGAAAAUGUUUAACUUCUCAUCUCAACCUUUUAAUUUCAUCAUUUGUUUUUUUUUUGUCAAAAUCAUGAAGUUCUAGGAACCCUAAAUUAUUUAUAUUGGGGUUUUUUCCCCCUUUGGAUUCAAAACAAAUCAAAUUAACAAUAGAAUAGCAAGGGCUUAUCCUUACCUCACGAUUUUAUCUAAAGAUGGAAGGUGUUUUCUUGAUGGUUUUCUUCUUCUCCUCUUUAUCACUGUUUCAGCCGGCCCUUGUGCCCUCCAAACCUCAAGAUUUUAUGGAUCUACACUUCCUAAUUACUCUCCUCUCUCACGUAGGUUCAUGCAAGGUGUUUUGGGUGAGAAAUGUGUGCAAUAAAAGGGAGCCAAUCUUCUCUCUUCAACUUGUUCUAAUUGAAAGUGAGAGGAAAGGUCAGGAAUUCUUUUUUUUUUUUUAAUGUAUUUAUACUCCCUUAUAUAUGCCUUAGGUCUUGUUUGGUAGUUUGGUCAAAUUUGUUCCUAACAUUACUUUUCUCCUUGUUGUGUGCUUUAGUUCUUCAUUUCACAAUUUGUUUAACAUCUCUCCCUCAUCCUUCCCUUCACACAUUUUAAUCCUUAGACAUUUGUUAGUUUUUAUACCCAUAUUUUUGUAAAAUAUUUGACUUCGUAAUUUAUUUUCUUAUUUUGAAUUCACCCUAUAAGUAUUGAAACAUUUUUAUUUUCUAAAAAUUUCAACUUGGGGUUUACAUAACCUUUAAGAAGAAGUGAAAAGAAAAGGUUGAAGCAGACAUCAUGAUUAUCCAAAAUGCAAUAUUUGAUCCCUGGUCCCAACAACAAAUCCAUAGUUAUCACAAAGAUCUAGUCCAUUUCUUUUGCCUUCCUUCUCUUACUUUUCUAGCUAUUUUUUCCUACUUUCUACUAUCCAUUCUAGAGCUUCAGAUUCUUAUAUUGUACAUAGAAUUUGAGUCUAGUUUUUUAACAGUUCAUAAACCUCGAUCCAUCAUACAAUUUCUCAAGAUGAUGCUGUUAUAAUUUAAAAAAACUAUUUAUAGAAGAUUUAUCUUCAAGGACAAGAGUUGAAUCCUUAAUAGCACAUUUAUACUCCCUACUUUUCAUCUAAAUUUCUUUAACAAGUAAGUCAUAUUUACUUUGUCAUUAUAUUUAUGUCAUCUAGAUUAAUACUAGUUAGAUGGUCUGCGCUAUACCGUGAGCCAACGUUUUAUUUUCAUAAAAAAUAUCAAAAAAAUAUAAGACCCAAGAGCGUUGAGUCUAACUGUAACACUGGAUCUAAAAGCAUUGAGUCUGACUGUAACACUAGAUCUAAAAGUAUUGAGUCUGGUUGCAACACCAAACUCAACAAUAAUAUUUAUAAUAUAAAUAAUAAUAUUUAACUUGUCUGCCUAUAUUGUUAUAUUUUUAAAUCUUUAAAAAAAAAUUAUGAUUUUUCUUCAAUAGUAAUAAUAGUAUUAUUUUAAAUUUAUUAAUAAUAAUGAUAAUAAUAAUAAUAAUAAUUUUUAAUUUUACCUUUUAAAUCAAAUCUAUGGUGGUUUUUCAAUAUUGAUAAUAAUGUUUUUCAAAUUUAUUAAUAAUAUUAAUUAUAAUAAAAAUAAUAACAUUUAUAAUACAAAUAAUAAUAUUUUUAAUAUUAAUACUAUUAAUUAUAAUAAAAAUAAUAAUAUUUAUAACACAAAUAAUAAUAUUUUUAUAAUAAUAUUUUUAAGUAUAAUAAAAAUAACAAUAUUUAUAACACAAAUAAUAAUAUUUAGAAACCUAAAACACAUUAGUGUUGGAACUUGACGCCGGACCCAAGAGAAUUAGAUCCUAACACAGGUCUUAGGAGAAUUGGGUUCUAAAACAAGACCCAUUACCCUUGGAUCCUGAUGCUGGCCCCAAGAGAAUUGGGUUGUAAUGCAAGUGAGUUGGGUCCUAACGCAUGACCCAUCAGCCUUGAGUUUUGAAGCCGAACCCAAGAUAAUUGGGUCCUGAUGCAAUUCCCAAGAGAGUUAGGUCCUGACGUCGGACUGAAGAGAAUUAAGUCCUGACGCAGGACCCACUACUUAUGGGUCCAAACGCUGGAUCCAAGUGUAAACCCCAAUUGAAAAUUAGUCUGAAAAGCAAUUUAAAUGCUUAUAGAAUAGAUUUAUCAGAAGUACCAAAUAAGCAUUAGAACAAACCAUGUAAAAUAAAAAACAGAAAAGUGAAUAAAAUAUUACUAAGAGUGAAUUACCUAGAAAUAAAAUUAUCAAUAUGUAACUAAAUGAAAAUCGAAUUCACCCGGAUAAAAAGUUUAUACAGAGAAAUACUAGGAUCCAAGAAUUUUAUCUCAUGAACAAGAAAUUUACUAUUUAGGAUAUAGAGGGAAUUUGGUAAAAAGUUUAUAUAUAUAUAUAUAUAAGUGUGCAUGUGUGUGGGCAAGAAGAAAAAAGAGAGAAAAAGAAAUAGAGAGAAAUAGGGGAAACUAUCAUUUACAUGUGAGAGAGAAAACAAAAUGAUAAAAACAUAAAAUCUUAAGAGGAGAUCUUGAGGGAACAUUAACCAAACUUAGUGAGCAUUAAUUGGAAGGAAGAAAAACCUAGAAAAAAAGGAGGGAAGUUCAACCAAGAUUAAAGAAAAGAGGAGUUGGAAGCUUGAAUUGGGUAGUGUUUAGAGUCUUAUUAUUUGCUUGGUAGGGCAUUCUAAAGACUUUUAAUUUGAUUUUUAAUGGCUUAAAGUCUUUAAUUGAUUGAAUUUUUGAAAUUUGGAAAGUUAGGGUUCUUGAAUGAAUUUGGAAGAAAUAAAACUUUACUGUAAAUUAUCAUGGGGAAUAAUGUGAAAGUUAGAGUAAAGUAAUUAAAUUAUUGUAGUUGAAGUAAAAAAUUUUGAUAAUUAAAUAGGGCUAGUGGUUAACCAAUGAUGAGAGUUUUUCAAUCUUAUUUUAUGCUACUCUGUUAGUGCUUUAUACUCCAUGAUGUGAAUUGAUGAACAAUGUAGGCAAUAGAACUAUUUUUUUGAAUAUCUCUUUACAACUUCUUAAAUUUCAUGGAGAUGUCUGAUGAGGAAUAUAGUUGAUUGUUGGUCCUUAUUAGAUUUUGUAUGUAAUGGAGUUAUGAGACGUUAAUAAUUCAUUAGAGAUGUUAAUUUGAUGGCUAAAAUCCAUGAAAUUCAACGGGACUAUUACAAAAGGUGAGAUAUUUAAGACAGUAACAAAUCAAACAUUAACAGUUGAGGUUUAAGACAGUAACAGAUCAAAUAGUAACGGUUGAGGUCUAAGACAGUAACAGAUCAAAUAGUAAUAGUUGAGGUCUAAAACAGUAACAGAUCAAACAUUAACAGUUGAGGUCUAAGACAGUAACAGAUCAAAUAGUAAUAGUUGAGAUCUAAAACAGUAACAGAUCAAGCAAUAACAGUUGAGGUGUAAGACAGUAACAGAUCAAGUAGUAAUGGUUGAGGUCUAAGACAGUAACAGAUCAAACAUAUAUAUAUAUAUAUAUAUAUAUAUAUAUAUAUAUAUAUAUAUAUAUAUAUAUGAGAACUGAGUUGUGUGGACACUUGCACGUUGAGAUACUGACUCUGAAAAUAUAUAUGAUAUGUGUAUAUAUGUUAUGAUGAAGAAAUAAACAUGCAUAAAAAGUAACAUAUGUGUAAUGAAUGAAUAUGGAUUCAGGAGGAGUGACCAUGAUUGGAUCUUCUGUUGGGGGAGGUCACGAGACAGGCGAAGCAGGUGCGUGAUUUUCCCUCCUCUUUGCACUUAUGCAAUUUAAAUAUAUUUUUUUGGUGAAUGCAAUUACAAUAAAUGUCAUGUUCAAUGUAAAUAAAAUCUAGCAUAUUUACAAAAUUAGCUUCGGCUAAUAGCAUCUGUGAUAGAAUUGCUAGGAGAUGAACUACAAGAUUAACUUUGACUAAUGUUGUCCGCGUUGGGACGCCCGAGAACGAUUGAUAAGACUCGAUUUGUAAAGGGUAUCCGUGUUUGAAUGAUCUAGGGGAAAUUGAUAAAUAUAAUUGCCUAAAAAUGUCUAAGUUGGACUAUACAAAGUCACCCGGUUCAUGCAAGUAAAUAAGAGUAUUUAAAUUAAGGAUAUGCAAAUGAGUUUUAAUUGGGUUUAAAUGAUUUACAAGCAAAUUAUAAGUUGAUUGUUAGAAUUCCUAUGGAUUCGAUAGAAAAUUUAUACUUCAUUCGUAUACAUUACAUGAUCAUAUAUAUUUCUUUUAUCAACAUAAUGGUAUGCUUACUUAGUUGUUUGUGUAACAUGUCCAUCAACUGUCCAGGGAGAUCAUUAGUUUGGGACUCCACUUUGUUAAGCUUAUGUAAAUAUUUAACUUAAGCAUAAGGGAAUUAACAUGAUUAUACAAUAUGUUUUUGUGUAAAUCUUGAUGUAUAUAUAAAAGUCUUAGCUCAACAUAUAGUACAUUAGUUAUCUUGUAAUUAACUCUUUUGAAAUGUUUAAAAAUACUUAUUAUAUUUUAAAUUUUCUCUUUACAUGUUAGUAUCCCUUUUUCCUUUUAAAUAUUAUAAUAUGAUUUGUGGGAUAUAUAUAUAUAUAUAUAUAUAUAUAUAUAUAUAUAUAUAUAUAUAUAUAUAUAUAUAUAUAUUGUGUGGAUUGUAUGAGGUGUUGAAUAUUGAUGAUUGAAAUAAAGUCUGAAAUUAUAGGACCUUAUGAUGAUGGGUUGAUUGAGUAAAUUGAUAGUAGUCGAUAACUUGGGAUAUCCUAAAUACAAACGAAACUCUACCAAAAUUUUGGUAGAAAUCUUUACAAAAACAAUUACCCUCAAAUUAAGAGCAUAUGAUGGGGUCUUUUAGCGUUGAUCAAAUUGUACAGUUGAGUCUGUUACAGUUGGUAUUAGAGCCCUGGUAUGGAUUCUAGGAAGAAUUCAAAAGAGGUUAUUGAUGUUUGUUAAUUUAUUGCAGGAUGGUACGUACCCACCAAGAGAUUAGAUCAGAUCUAUCUUCAACAGGGAGGGGGAAUAAAGAUAUAGACUUUUACGUUGGGCAAGAAGAGAACCUUUUGAAAGAUACUGCUUCACAUGCACCAGCAGUAUCGACUAAAGCAGGGCAUGAAGAAUCGAUGGGGCCUCAAGUCCGACAGGCACCAAGACAAAGGACCCAUUAGCCUUGGAUCCUAAUGCCGAACUUAAGAGAAUUAGGUUCUGAUAGAGGACCCAUUACAUUUGGGUCCUAACGUCAGAUCCAAGAAAAUUGAGUGUUGACGCAAGACCCAUUAGCUUUGGAUCUUGACACUGAACCAAAGAGAAUUGAGUUCUGACACGGGACCCAUUAGCUUAUGGUUCUAAUGCAGGACUCAAGAGAGUUUGAUCCUAACACCAAAUCCAAGAGAAUUGGGUGUUAACGCCGAAUCCAAGAGAAUUGGGUUAUGACACAGGACUCAUUAGCUUGGGUCUGGACACGGAUACAUUACCAAUGGGUCUAGACGCCGGACACAACAACCUUUGGUACGAUACGAACCCCAGAGUGGGCUAGAUAGGGCUGCAAGACCCAAGUGAUUUGGGUCUGCUCUUUUGCCAAACCCAAGUAACUUGGGUGAGGCACCCCUUUCCAGCCCCAGGAUUUUUAGGUCUGGAAAGGGAUGCCUAACCCAAGUUAAUAACAAUAAUAUUAUAUUUUACCUUUAAAAUCAAAUUUAUGUUUUUUUAUAGUAAUAAUAUUUAUUUUAAUUUUAAUAAUAUUAAUUAAUUGAAUAAUAUUUAUAAUAAUAUUUAACUUAUCUGUCAAAGUUCUUAUAUUUUUUAAUCUCUUAAAAAAAACAUUAUAGUUUUUUUUCGAUGAUAAUAAUAUUUUUUUAAAAUUUACUAAUGAUAACAACAACAACAACAAUAAUAUUUAAUUUUACAUUUUAAAUCAAAUCUAUUAUUAUUUUUUAAUAAUAGUUUUUAUAAAUUUAUUAAUUAUUAUAUUAAUAAUAAUCAAAAUAAUAAGAUGUUAUGUGGGAGGGUCUGCACCCAUCACGGUUCUGGAGACCCAGGUAAUAUCACAUUAAUAGUGAAAGAUCUACUCAACCAUGAUUUUAAAAGUUUUCCUUGACGAACAUGCGACGUUUUUUAGCCAAGAAAAUACGAUGUCGUAGGGCAAUCUUUAAAAAUUAUUUUUAUUUAAUUCUGUGGUAAUUAAGAUAAAUACGUGUAGGAAUUCUGAUAAUUUAAAUUAUGGAGAAUAAACUUAUUCAUUGUUCAAUAAACACUGUGAUUUGUGAGUGUAUGCACAGUGUUGUUUUAUGUACAGAAAGAAAAGGGAGCCAUGUUUUAGUUUAUAGUGUUAGUGUUACUAUUUCAUGAGAAGCUAAUCCUGUAUUAGUUUUUGGUAGUUCAGAAAUUAAUGUGAUUUACUUAGCUAAUCCAGUUCCCAUGAGAAGCAAAAGAUCCUGUAUAAAGUUUUCUAUAAUGACAUUUUGUAUUUAAUUUUUUUGUUUUAAAAGAAGUUAAAUUUUUAUAAUUUUUUUCAAAAUAAUUUUUUAUUUUUUUAUAUUAUUUGAAUAUGCUGAUUUUAAAACUAAAUUCUAAAUAAUAAUAAAAAAUUAUUUAAAUAUAUUUUUAAAAAACAACUGAAUUUUUGCAGAAAACCCAGCUAUAAAUUAACAUCUUUAGCCCGUGACGGUAACCGGCAGUUCUACCCAUGACGGUGGCGGUGAGUCCUCCCAAUUGUACAUGUCGGAUCCUUCUUGCCCGGGACGGUGAUGGGCAAUCCCGCCUGUCAUUUCAGUGUGGCCCCAGGUGAAAUGAUUUUAAAAUAUAAAAAAAUUAGCUUUUAAUAAUUAAAUAAUUUUAAUUUAAAUUGAGGAAAAAAGACUUCUUAACAAAAUAAAACUUACGAUAUUACAGUAACAAACAUGCUAAAAAACAUCUUCUUUUUCAAAGCAUGCAACUACAGGACCAGCCAUAUUAAGCUGCUUGUGAUAUUACUCCUCAUACAACCAAAUCAAUCCAUAACCUACGAGAUUUAUUGCAACUCUUGCUUACUUUUCAAUUCCAUAACCUAUGCUUGCUUUCAAAUAUAUAUAUAUACUAACUUUGAACGACAAACAUGUUUGUAAAUUAAGAGUGAAAGGAAAGUUGAAAAUCACAGGGAGAGCCUUAUAUAUAUAUAUAUAUAUUACUCCUCAUAGAAUUUCAUGAAGCAUUGAGGUUCUGGGCGAGAAGUUGACCACUCCUGAUAUUCUGGGCUUCUUCAAAAGCCACAAGCUCAAUGAUCGAUGGUCUUCUGGGAAAGUUGAAAGAAACACUGAAUACCCUCAACGGACUUCUCGACGACGCGGAGGAGAAGUAGAUUACCAAGCCUGCUGUGCAGAAGUGGCUUAAUGAUGCUAGACAUGCUGUGUAUGAAGCUGAGGACUUAAUGGAGGUGAUUGAAUAUCAACAUCUACGAUCCAAGGAUAUUAAAGCUGCCUCUCGACGAGUUAGGAAUCGGGUAAGCAUAUGGUUUUGCUCUUGUAGACCUUGCUUUCUCGUAUAAUGUUAUUAUCGAUCCCUCUGAUUUUUACAAGCACAAUUCGAAAUUGUAAGAUAUCAGAAAAUUUCAUAUCUUUUCUUGAAAUAUUUCAUGCAAACAACACCCCUCAAUUAUGCUAAUUUAUCUCAUGCAACCAAUCCUAUGAUACUAUCCUGCAACCACUACUCAUUAUUAUUCCAACAAAUUCCAACCACUUUUUAAUAGCCCAGCCUGGCCAAGCUGUCAACUUAAUUAAAACAUGUUCAAUCUAGAAUUUGAAUUAAAUUGUUUUUUUUAAAACAAAAAUCAAAGUUGACCCAUUAAUUUUUAAAAAAACAUUAGCACUAAAUGUUAAAUAUUGGUGUCAUAACACCUUUGAAAAAAAAAUUAGUGGAAUAGCUUAUUUUCACAUUUUUAAUAGCAAUAUUUAGUAAAUAUUAUUUUUUUGAAGUGCAACAAAGUGAAAGUCCAAUUAUUUGACUUAAUUAGUUAGUUGAUUGAAUUUAAUUGUAUUAACUAGUCGAUUAUUUCACAUAAAAACCAUAAUUUUAUGAAUUUUUUCUUUCAAAUAUAAAUUAUGAGUCAAAAUAUACAUGUGUCUAACAUCUAGACUAAAAAAUAGAUUUCAAUUAAAGUUUUAAAAAAAUUAUUAUUUACAUAGUAGUUGUUAUCUAUUUUUCAAUGUCAAUUAAUGAUGUAGAAAAGCUUGUGACAGUAAGUGAUUCUAAGUUGUCAGAUGUUUGUUUAUCAUAACUAUAUAAGGAUUGUCCUAAAUAAAUUAAAUGUAUGACCUAACAAAUAUAUUUAUAGACCAAUAAAAUAGUUUGAAGCUUAAGAGGAGAUUUGAUCCCACAAAGCCAGAAUAAUAAGAAAAAAAACCAUAAUUUUUUAUUUGACUAUUGAAUUGCACUCAAAUUUUUAUAGGAGUUUUUAAAAACCACAUUCUCUAUUGUAGUCACUGCAUUGCUAUGUAGACUGUUAAAUCUUUAGAUAUAAAAAAUCUCGUCAAAACCCCUUGAUUUUGGUAUUUUUAAGAUUUUUAUUAUUAUUUUCGGAAUUAAUUGACUAAUUUCAUUAACUAUUAUGAACAAGUCAAUUAAUUAAGUCAAAUGAUUAAAAUUUUACCUUAUCAGAACCUUAUUAGAAACAUAACAUUUAUUAAAUGUCACUAUUCGAAAAAACGACAAUUAUUUUGUGAUGCUUAGGAAUAGUAACAUUUAAUAAAGUUUCCAUUUCUAAAUCCAGCUAGUAGAAGGAUGAAAGAGAUGGGAGCAGAGUUACAAAAGAUCCAUGAGAAGCUUGAACGUUUUACUUAUACACAAGGGUGAUCUGCGCCAUAUAGAAGUUACUGGUGGACGCAGACCAUUGUCAGAGAAAACAACUCCACUGGUUAAUGAAUCUAAUGUAUAUGGAAGGGACGCUGAUAAGGAAGCCAUAAUGGAGCACUUGUUGACACAACACACCACAGAUGGCUCAAAUUUACGUGCGGUCCCUAUUGUGGGCAUGGGCGGGAUUGGUAAAACCACUCUUGCUCUGCUUAUCUACAAAGACGAAAGGGUACAGCAACGCUUCCAACUCAAGGCCUGGGUCUGGGCUUCUCAACAAUUUGAUGUUGCCAGGAUUAUUAAGGAUAUUCUUGAUCAACGCAAGAACUUGCCGCACCAAAGAACCAGAUGAAUCUCUAAUGGAGGCAGCGAAAGGGAAAAAACUUCUUCUUGUUCUAGAUGACGCGUGGAACAUCGAGUACAAUGAAUGGGAUAAACUACUGCUACCUUUGCGGUAUGUGGAGCAAGGAAGUAAGAUUGUCGUGACAACACGGGAUCAAGAUGUAGCAAAAGUCACGCAAACUGUCAUCACCCCUCACUGCUUGAAAGGAAUAAGCGAUGAAUAUUGCUGGAAGUUGUUUGCAAGGGAUGCAUUUAGUGGUCUAAAUUCUGAAGCAGUCUCACACUUGGAAGCAUUUGGCAGAAAAAUAGUGAGAAAGUGCAAAUGUUUGCCGCUGGCAGCGAAAACUCUUGGUGGUCUUUUGCACUCCGUAGAAGAUGUCAAGCAAUGGGAGAAGAUAUCCAAUAGCAGUUUGUGGGGUUCGUCGAAUGAAAACAUCCCUCCAGCUUUAAAAUUGAGCUAUUAUUAUCUCCCUUCACACCUGAAACGUUGUUUUGCUUAUUGUGCAAUAUUUCUCAAAGGUUAUGUAUUCAAGAAGGAUGGAUUAAUCACUGAAUGGAUGGCACAUGGUUUUUUAUUCCAGCCAGAGGUGUUGAGGAGAUGGAAGAUAUAGGUGAAAAAUACUUUGAUGAUCUUGUCUCCAGGUCAUUUUUCCGGCAAUCACUUUAUGCUCCAUCAUAUUUCAGCAUGCAUGACAUCAUAAGUGAUUUAGUUGAAUACGUGUCAGGAGAAUUUUGCUUUAAGCUUGGUAUUAAUGAAUCGGGAUCUGGGUUGGAGGGUGAACAUUCAUGCUCGCUUCCAGAAAGGACUCGUUAUUUAUCAAUCACUUCAGCGGCAGUUCGGACAUUUCGUAGCAUUCAUGGAGUCCAACAUUUGCGCGCCUUGUUUCCACUAUAUAUUUUCGGGGAAGAUGAUAGUGAGGCACUGAAUGACAUCUGGCUAAAUCUUAAGCGCUUGCGAAGGCUAUCUUUAUGUCAUCUAAAAGAUAUUUCUUCUCAGUUGCUCAAUUCCAUUGGCAACUUAAAACAUUUGCGGCACUUGGACCUUUCUCGCACCGCCAUUAAAAGGUUACCUAAAAGUGUGUGCACUUUGUACUAUUUGCAAAGCUUAUUGUUAAAGAAGAGCCGACAUCUCAUGCAGUUGCCAUCCAACCUUUUCAACUUGGUCGCCUUACAACAUCUUGAUAUUGAGGGGACAAAUCUGAAAAAGAUGCCACCGAAAAUGGGGAAACUCACAAGGCUUCGAACUUUGCAAUAUUACGUAGUGGGAAAAGAGAGGGGGUCUAGCAUGAAAGAGCUGGGGAAGCUCUCACAUUUAAGGAAAAAACUUUCUAUUCGGAAUCUCAGAGAUGUUGCAAAUGCUCAAGAUGCUUUGGAUGCCAAUUUGAAGGGUAAGAAGAAGAUUGAGGAGUUGAGGUUGAUAUGGGAUGGCAAUACAGAUGACACCCAACAGGAGAGAGAAGUACUUGAGAAAUUGGAGCCUUCUGAAAUUGUGAAACAGCUUGCCAUUAAGGGUUACGGGGGUACAAUGUUUCCAGACUGGCUUGGAAACUCUUCUUUCUUAAAUAUGGUAGCGUUGACUCUUUCUGGAUGUAAGAACUGCAUCUCCUUACCACCAUUGGGGCAGCUGCCAUCUCUUGAAGAGCUCCAUAUUGAAGGAUUUGAUGAUGUCGUGGCAGUUAGUUCUGAGUUCUAUGGAAGCGACCCUUCGAUGGAGAAGCCAUUUAAAUCCCUCAAAAUAUUAAAGUUUGAGGGGAUGCGAAACUGGCAGGAAUGGAAAACAGAUGUAGCUGGUGCUUUCCCUCAUCUUGCAAAUCUCUUGAUAGCAGGUUGUCCCGAGUUAACAAAUGGCUUGCCUAAUUACCUUCCUUCUUUAUUGAUACUUGAGAUUCAAGCGUGUCCACAGCUUGUGGUUUCAAUUCCAGAGGCUCCCCUGCUCACCGAAAUCAAUGUAAAAGUCACUAAAACUUUCAUCCCCUCUCACCGCUGGAAUGCACUAAGCGAUGAAGAUUGCUAGCAGGUUCUUCUUGCAAGGUAUGCAUUUUAGGGAGAGGAUAUCCAAUAGCAGUAUGUUACUAAAAAAAUAUUUUUAAACUGUAUAUAUAUAUUUUUUAAAAUACACUAGGUAUAUUAAGUUUGUAAAGCAAUGGGAGGAGAUAUAUUAAGUUACUAAAACAAGGUGUUUAUCAUUUUGUUUGGUUGUCCAUAAGGUUUUGUUACGCAACUAUAUAAAAAUAAAAAUCAUAAUUUGUCGACAUUACGGCACAGAAUUGUGAAAUUCAUCCUCUCUUGCCAUCGAAACCUGAGAGUGUUUUGACUUUUGGAGUGGAGGGCAGAAAUAAAAUUGUAGUUAUAUUAAGUUAUAAAAAAAAUAGUUUUAAACUGUAUUUAAAAAAAAUACAUUAGGUAUAUUAAGUUACUAAAUUUUUUUAUUAAACUGUAUUUUUUUUUAAAAUACAUUAGGUAUAUUAAGUUUGUCAAGCAAUGAGAGAAGAUAUAUUAAGUUACUAAAAAAAUAUGUUUAUCACUUUAUUUUUAUUUCUCGUAAAAGUCGGUUACGCAAUCGAAUCGGGGAUGAUUGGUUGAAUGAUUGUUUGGUUACUUAUAUCGAAAAAAAUAUAUUUGAAAGUGUUGAUAAUGGAAAGAUUCUAUAACGUUUUCAGCAUAUGAAGUCUUGCAGGGAUUUCACGGAGCAUCUUUUUAUAAUAUAUGUGAAUUUUUAAAUUUUAUAUUAGAAGCUUAAAAUUUUUAGAUUUUUUAGAUCUUAAUUAAUUUAGUUAUAUUAUUUUGCUAUCUAUGAAAACUCGAUCUGGAUCCGUCCUUUAUCAAAUGAAGUAUAUAUCAUGUUGAAACCGGUAAUGAGUUUCGAUUGAUAGAAGAAUCAGGAAAAAAAAAUUAAAAUAGAUGUGCUUUGAGAGUGAUAAAAUAAUUUCAAGGAAUCAUAGUAAAAUAACUUAUAUGGUUCUAGCAAUAUUGAAAAAGAAAAUUUGGAUUUAGACAUAAAAUUAUAUAUUGACUAGUUUUACGCUAUUGAGCAUGACUCUCAAUUCGAUCUUUCGAUUGAGUUGAAAGUCCACAAGAAGACUUCUGAUAUAUUGCUCUAUCUUGGGUUAAAAGUUUAGGGUAGGCCAUCAUAGAAUAUCAACAGUCGAACUAAAAAUAACAUGUAGAUUCAUUAAUGAUAUUUUCAUAAAUAAGCUAGAAAAACUAAAAAUUUAGUUUCUUCUUCCCCUCUAAACUACCGGCUAGUGCUAAAACAACUAUAAUAGAAAAAACAAAUUGAGAGCUUACUCAUUGGAACCCUUGAAUCAAGAUUUAAGGCAAGAUAGGUGAGGGAAUAAAUAUUAAACACAUCUCGACUAAGUGCCAUCCUAUAAAUUUGUUUUCAAUUUGCAUUUGAUGAAAAAUAUACAAGGAAUCAUAAAUGAAUUAACUUAAGCAUUGCGAAGGAAAUAUCAAGAUAUCAUAAAUGUGUUGACAAGUUAAAAAGUUUUGAAACAACAAAUUUAAAUGAUAAGGGAUGAAGGAUGAAAAUAUUUAGUUGAUGAGAUUUUUUUUUGGUGUGAAAGACAUAGCAUUGAUAUUUCAAAAAUAAAUGAUGUGUUUGUCAUUUGCAGCCGAUCAAGGUGUAAUACCCAACAAUUAAUAAACUUGUAUCAUUAACAGGCCGAGCUGUUCUAUACAACAAUUGACAUGCAACUUCACGAGCUUAACAAUUGUUUUAUCAAGAUACACAUGGAGUUGCUUCCUUGCAUUGCAUGUUUGAAACUCAAUCUCUAUAAUAUUAUAAAUAGGUUAGCAUUGCAAUAACAAAAAAAAAAUAUGAUAACCAUGACAAUAAUAAUAAUAAUAAUAUGAAUAUGUAUAUUUUUAUUAGUUGAUGGAUCAAUUUGAAAGCAUCAAAGUACUUUUUUGUAAAAAUAAACUAAUAAAUGGUACACCCGAGGCAAAAUUAUAGCCAAUAUAGCUUGUUGGCCAAGGGAAAGUGUCACGGGGGUAUUUUUCGCUACGCGAAUAAACCCGUGCGGCAGCCUAGUCCUUCGCUAGACUCAGCCUUCCCUCACCAAUCUCACUCGUGUUUGCCUAAUAACUAAGCAAGCGGAAUACACAAGCAAGGAUAAGAAUCAUAGUGCACAACAAGCUUUACAGGAACUCUUUCCCAACCUUUAUUAAUCUCAUACACAAAGGAAACUAUACACAAAUCCGUAUGUGUGCUAUGCACAAAGAUUACAUGCUACACUAAGCUACCUCUAACUAGUGUUCUACACAUGUUCUUGCAUGCCCCUACAUGCUGGACAUUCCCAACCGAAUGCCCUUACAAUCUGAACAUUCCCACCUGAAUGCUCUCCCACAACCAAGAGCUACAUCUUGUAUUUAUAGACAAGCAAAGGAGCUGCAAAGGCUCCUCCCCAUUAUCCCCCAUUUUCAGGACCUAGUGGAGCACUACCUCUCUCCCAUGAUCCCAUGUUUUCAGGACAUGGUGGAGCACUACCUCUCACCCAUGAUCCCAUGUUCUGCCUCCCAUGAAGCUGCCACUCUCCUUAUUUUCUGGCUGUCUACUUGGCAGCCCCAGCUGCCAGCUUCUGCUGCGUCAGCUGCUGACUUAGAAGGUCCAUCAUCUAAGCCCCCACGUCCAUGUCAAGUCGCAAGCUCAAAGACUCGCAUAGACCAUUGCAUGCUGCCUGCCGAAUUCAUCUCUGCCUAUGCAAGGCUGCCGCGAUCCAUCGCUGCCGAAUUCUAAGCAGAGUGCCUUCGUUGGCGCGUCCCAGCGCCUAGAGCUCUUAGCCCAUGCCUUGGACAGUCCUUCGCCCAAGUUUUAGAUCGUGCCAAGUCGAGCCCCUGACUUGCACAAGUUUGCUGCGCGCUGCCGAGUCCGCAUCUGCAGGCAAGCUGCCAAUGCGCUGCCGAAUUCGCAUAUGCGUGCUGCCAAUCUCUGCGCUGCCGAAUUCGCAUCUGCGUGCAGGCUGCCCCUGUCUACGCUGCCGAAUUCUGCGAUAGUCCCAAUUCUCGUCAGCCUAUCCUCCUGACGAGGCUUGGACAGUCCCUCGUCCAGCCCAUGUUCGUCAACAAUCUGCGCUGCCGAUUUUCCCUUUGACGAACCUACAGCCGCAUAAAUCUGCGCUGACGAUUUCUCCCACUGAUGGCAUGGCUGCCAGCACCCUUCGGCCUUGUUUUGGCCAGCCUGCCGAAGCGUGCACCUCGUGCACAUUUGACACUGUGACAGAAAGAGUCUUUUCGUUUGUAGUUUUGGAGUAGCAAAUAAUGGCUUAUGAUAAGCAAACGUUGAUUCAUCUUGCUUAAUUCUAUCUAUCUAUUUUCUUCAUAGUUGAGCUUGCAGCACUUAUAAUCAACUGGAAACUUAUAUUCUUGACAUGAGAUCCUGUGAAGAAUUUCCAAAGCUAAAAGAAAUCAAUUAUUCUGCUAAAAAAUUGGUAAAGACAAACUAUUUCAUUAGAAAAUAAAAUAUUUUCAGCGAUGAAAUUGAUUAAAAAUUGAUUACGCAAUCGAAUCAGAGAUGAUUAAUUAAAUGAUUGUUUGAUUAUGAUUACUUAUAUCGAAAAAGAUAUAUUGAGAAGUGAUAAUAAUAAGAAAAUCCUAUAUUUCAACAUAUAAAAUCUUGCAAGGAACAAUUAUAAAUUAUAUAAAAAAGAAUUUCAUGAAUCAUCUUUAUAUAUAUAUAUAUUACAAAUUUAUAAUUUUAAGAUUUUUUAAAUCUUAAUUAAUUUAAUUAUAUACUUAUAUUAUUUUAUACGUUAAAACUGGAGUCCAUCCUUCAUCUUAAUGGCAUAGAUGAAAUAUCUUAUUUAUGCCCAUUUGAAGAUAAUUAAUCCAGACUUAAUCCACUUGAUGAUGCCUUAAUCAUGCUGAUAAAAAAAGAUUAAUACAUUAAGCACAAGUGUUGAUAUAAUCAGUGGCAGAGCCCCGGGGCUGGCAGGACCCGGCCUUGUAAGAAAAUGUUCUUGUCAAUAUUUUUUUAAUAAUAUUUAUAGUUUCAGCUCAAAUAAUAAAAUAACUGAAAUCUUUGCCUUCUAAAAUAUUUUUUUUAAUUUUAUUUUGUGACCCAGCCCUAAAUAUAAUAUAAAUAAUUUAAUAUUGUUAGGAAGUUUUAAACCGGCUUCCAUGAAUUUAAUAUUGCCUAUCAUUUCAGCGUGUCCCGAGGUGAAAACAUUUGGCCUUUUUUUUUAAUUACUGAAAACUUAACAUGUCAUGUGCUAAAUUCUUUUUUUUAUUAUUUACGUGGGGUGUCCGGGCCAGCUUACGCGCACCACGACUAUUCCCCACAGCCCGCUGGACAUCCUGCAAGCCCAGGAGCAGGUAAGGCACCGCGGAGGUGACAGGCGUGCACAUAGAGGGUCGAACCCGGGACGGGAGCGGAACAAGUCACACGAUUGACCACAACAGCUAGACCCUCAAGUGCAUCAUGUGCUAAAUUCUUGAAGAACCCAGUGAAUGCCAAAAUUAAAGAUUCAUUUUGAAAAUUAAUUUGAAAUAAAAAUGAAAAAAUAUAAUUUUUUUUCAAAAAUACUUUUACAUCCAGAAACAAAAAUGACCUUAUGUAAGGGACAUGCACGUAUCCACUUAGAUAUAAAACCCCAGCCAAGAAACCAAAGAAGAGAAGUAGAGAACGGUAGCUCAGGGGAGCGUUUGGCAUGGAAAAAUGAAAGGGCACGGUCGUAUAUAUUCUUUGGAUUUCCACAUUGGUAAUAUAUACAUGAAUUUGUUUUUAUAUUAAGAAUUAUGUUUUAUGAUUGUUUUAAAUAAAAUUUGCUUUAAAUUAAUAUUGUUUUAGUAUUGUUAAAUUAUUUUAAUGUAAUAAUAUAAAAAAUAAUUUUUUAUUUUUUUAAAUAAAAAAUAAUUAUUACCAUACUCACCAUCAAAACUUAACAAGUACGGUAGGUAUGCAUCAAAGAAAAACCAAAGGACGGUAGGUAUGCAUCAAUGCCAUAAAUAGAGUUUGUCUUGUUCAGAAGACUUUGAAAGUGGCUUCGUUGACUCUGCAGACACGAAGAAUAGUCAAAAGUCCUAAAAUUAACUCAUCUUUGCUAUCCACGGCGGCGCAUCAUUAGUGGGUUUGGAAAUUAACAUGGUGCUUCCGAUGAGCCAAGCUAUGUGUUCACAGUGAUUAAUUCGAAUGUGUAAGCAAUAUCGUUGCUAUCACCAUUUGCUUUGAAGGGCUAUUUAAAAAUAUAAUAGUAGUUAUUUCUUUAAAAUAUAUAUUAAAUAUAUAUAUUUUUUUAUUUUUUAAAAAUUAUUUUUGAUAUUAAUACAUCAAAUCAAAACAAAACAAAAAAUAUAAAAAAAUUAAUAUAAAAAAUUUAAUUUUAAAAAAACAUGAUUUUAAAUGCGAUCCCAUACAAUAGAUUAGAUAGAAAAAAAAAGGAAACUGGAAAAAAAACAUUAAUUAAAAUGAUAAAUAGAUAUAAAUAAAUUAUUUUUUCUUCAAAUUAGAAUCGUUAUUUUCUAUACACUAUUGUCGCUAAAAUUAUAAAAUCAUUUUAUAAUUUAUAAUCAUUUUCUAUAUAUUAUUGUUGCUUUUUUUCAUAUAUAUAUAUAUAUAUAAUCCUCACUAUGAAAUUCUGAAAGAGAGAACGGCGGCUAAAAGCAACAACAUUUUAGCUAGAUAAAUAAAGUUUAAUGACUUGAUAUGUUCUUAUAUUAUAAAAUAUUUCUUUGAUCUAUUUCUAUAUAUCUAAUUAAGUUAAUUUUAUUCUUUAAUAUAUAUUAAAUUUAUAAUUUAUCAUUCUUCUCAUGUAAACUCACUCCAAUUUGUCAUGUGUCUGUUACAUGCAAAACUAGAAGAUUAUAUUUAAAAUUUAACAUAUAUUUUAAAUAAAAUUGACUUAAAUAAAGAUAUAAUAGGUCAAUGAUAGAUAAAUAGCCCACUAUCGAAGGAUAUACUACGUUACUAAAAAAAAACCUGUUUAUCAAUUUGUGUGGUUGUCCACUAGGUUUUGUUCUCUCCAUUGAUAUUAAUUAUCAUCAGUAUCUGAAUGGCAUAGCAUAGGUUAAAAACUUAUUAUUAAUAUUUUAUGGAUGUACACAAGAAGAUAAUUAAUCCAUAAUAAUUUUUACGGUUUAACUGUCUAUAUAUUUUUAAAUUUUAUUAUUCGAUUAACAAAUUUAUUUAUACAUACCGCUUCCACGAGUUUUCUUGUCUCUUCCUUUCCUUUAAAGUCCCCGAAUUCCCAUCAUGGCUUAUUAGCUUUCUACUACUAUCAUUCUCUCUCUCACCCUUUCGCAAAAAUCGACAACUUCAUGACUCAGAAAUCUUGACCCCAUCUCCUAACAAUUCAUAGACAGGUAGGGUUCAGCAUUGCACCAUUCUUUUCAAGAACUGGUGGGAUGUCACAGAUUUCAAAUAGAUGGUAGGAAUGGACCUCUCGAUGAUAAGUAGGGCCCAAAUUGCCGCCCAAAGGCCAUUGUAGAUUCACGUUCAGAGAACAUCAGAUGCGAUGCUUAGCCGACAGUAGAGAAGAAUGAUUACUUCUGAAGAGAAUAUCAUUACAAAAUGAUCCCCGGCAAACAGUCAGGGAUGCCAGCACGGCCGGCUUACAUUGUUAAGCUUGUAACAAUCUAUAAUCAACUCGAAACUUAUAUUCUUAACCUGAGAUCUUGUGAAGAAUUUCCAAAGAUAAAAAGGAAUCAAUGAUCUUGCUCAGAAAUUAGUGGAGGCCAAGAAGGUUGUGGUUAGUAAUUUUACCUCGUGUGAAUAUAAUAUAAAUAAUUUAAUAUUGUUAGGAAGUUUAAAACCGGCUUCCAUGAAUCUUCUUGUCUUUUCUUUUCCUUUAAAAGUCUAUAUGGUUGUUCUCUUAAUGCAAUUCAUUGGAUUCUGCUUUCUACGGCCUUCUCUCUCACACCGUCCGCGAAGAUCCACCAUGGCUUCUGCUAUUGUCCUUUUUUUUUCUCUCCCGUCCUUUUGAUACUGUCGUCCUUCCGCAAAAAUCCACCAUGGCUCUGGGGUUGAGUAGAGGUUAAUUAUCUGUGCUGUCAUUGAGGUUUUGGUCGACAGGCUGUCCUCUCCUGAGGUUCUAGGCUUUUUCAAAAGACAAGCUCAAUCAAUGGAAAAGUUGAAGUUAAACAUUAAAUUAUUCUCCUUUUUUAUUUUUUUUCACAAGUAUUUAACCGUUCAAUUUGUAAGAACAUCAGUCUUUUUUAUAAGCCAACAAUUACACUUUUUAAAUUUGCUAUUAUAAUAAUUAUUUAUUUAUGUGAUAAUUUCACCAAUGUUUUUUUGGCCUUGUACCAAAUACCUUCUAAGAGUAAUACCAGAUGAAAUUUUUUAAAAUAUUUUUGAACCUCAUAGUUUCAUAUAUCUAUAUUUUAACCGUUAACUUCAUUUCUCACACGUUUCACUCUUUGACUAUUGAGUUUUGAUCCUUGCAAUUCUCAUAAAAGUACAUUUUGGUUCCUUAAGUUUUUAUUUUUAUUUUUGAUCCUUAUAAUUUCAGGUAUUUAUAUUUAAUUCUAAAAUUUUAUUUUCCUUACAUUUCAAUUCCUUUAUGUUGCGAUUAUAGAGAGAAAGUCGCUAGAAAAAAGAGAGGAAAGAGAAGUAUUUUGGUGAGUUGUAUUUCAAGAACAAAAAAUGUUGAUUUUGGAGAGUUGUAUUUUGAAUGAAACAGACCCAACCAAGGCCCCGAGUUACCCGGGUCCUGGGUUGACCCGUCAAGCGGGGCUGAGUUUGAUAACUAUGAUAACAACCAUGUCAGACCCAAGAUGUUAGGUAUAUCCUUGGAUCUAACGGCCAUAUCAGACCCAAUAGCCUUGGAUCUUACAUGACUACCAGACCUAGGGUCUGGUGAUUGGGUCUCGCAAUCAUGCCAGACCCCAACAUCUUGGACCUGGCUGCCAUGACUAAACUGAAAAAAAAAAAACAAAAUUUUGCAUAGUAACAAAUACAUAGUGAAAAUCCAACGUAUUUUAGUAUAUAAGUAAUAAAUUUAAUAAUUAACAUAUAAUGCAUGAUAAAAUUAGCAUUAAUUUUACCAGUGGCUACUGCAACAAUAAAGAAAAUAUUUUUAGCAUUCAAAUUGGUUAAAAAUCGAUUACAUGAUCAAAUUAGGGGUGAUUUGUUGAAUGAUUGUGUGGUUACUUAUAUCAAUAAAGAUAUAUUUAAAAGUGUUGAUAAUGAAAAGAUCCUACAAUGUUUUCACUAUAUGAAGUCUUGCAAUGAGCGAUUGUGAAUUUUAUAUAUAUAUAUAUAUGCAAUAUAUAUAUAUAUAUAUAUAUAUAUAUAUAUAUAUAGAAUUUUAUGAAAUAUCUUUUUAUAAUAUAUGUAAAUUUUUUAACUUUAUAUUAAAAAAUUAUAAUUUUUGGAUUUUUUAGAUCUUAAUUAAUUAAUGGAAAAGUUGAAGUUAAUUAUUAAAUUAUUCUCUCUUUUUUUCACAACUAUUUAACUAUUUAAUUUGUAAAUACAUCAGUCAUUUUAAAAAACCAACAUUUACACUUUUUAAAUUUGCUCUUAUAAUAAUAAUAAUUAUUUAUGUGAUAAUUUCAACCAUAUUUUUAAGCCUUAUACCAAAUACCUUCUAAGAGUAAUACCAAAUGAAGUUUUUUUUAACAAAACAUAUUUUUGAACCUAGUAGUUUUAUGUGUUUACAUUUUAACCGUAAACUUCAUUUCCCACUCGUUUCACUAUCUGAAUAUUGAGUUUUGGUCCUUGAAAUUCUCAUAAAAGUUCAUUUGGGUUCCUAAAAUUUUUUCUUUUAUCCUCGUAGUUUUAGCUAUUUAUUUAAUUCUAAAACUUUAUUUUCCUCACAUUUUAAUUCCUUGAUGUUACGAGUAUAAAGAGAAAGUCGUUAGAUAAAAAGAAAAGUAUUUUGGUGAGUUGUAUUUCAAGAACAAAAAAUACUGAUCUUAGUGUCCAUAAAUUUUUCUUUAAACACAUAACAAAAAAAAUUAAUAUUUUUUAAAAGUGGCCCUAAACAAAAUAAAAAAGAGGAGGUUUUAUCUAUUUUUUUGGUUUUUUAACCAGUCACAUUACUUUAUUUCUUUUCAAUUGCAUUCUUUAAAGCUAUAUUUUCAUGGCAACCAUAGCUAUCAAACCCAGCCUAGGAGUUAACCCGACUAAUGGGCUAAGUCCUGGUUUACACGAGUUGACUCGGGUCAACCAAGAAAAAUUUUAAAAAAAUAUUUGAGAUUUUAAUAUUUUAUAUGAAAAAAUAAGAAAUAAUCCAUAUGGAUAUAUGCUAUACAUGUUGUAAACAAUUAAAUUUAAAAGAUUAUUUCAAAAUGUUUUUUAUUCCACAUUGAAAAGAUACUAUCUUAUUCUUUUAAGUUAAAGUAUUUAAAUAAAAAAGGUUUUCUAUCCUACAUUGAAUAACCAUUAACUUUUUUAUUGUGAAUAUAGAAUAAAUAUAUAGACACAUACACACACUAAAAGACUUCAAAUUUUACAUUACAAAAAUAAAAUAUUUUUCUAAUAUUUAUAUACUGAACUUGAAAUGAGUUAGAAAAAAACUGAAAAUAUAUAAAAAAAAUCUCUAAAUAAAAGAAAAACACAUUUAAUAAAAACAGAAUCUCUAUCAAGUUUUUAUUGGGCCACCCGAGUUCCAGGUUUACCCAACAUGUUAACCAGUUUACUCCAGGCCACUUACACGUCCAAAUAUUGAAUGAAACAGACCACCAAGGCUUAUCAUUCUCUCUCACAUAAUCACUCUAUCACCCUUUCGCAAAAAUCCACCAAGGCUCCUGCUUUCCACUACUCCUUUUCUCUCACAUAUUCCGACCCUCACCCCUUCUGCAAAAAUCCACCAUGGCUCUGGAGUUGAUCGGAGGAUCAAUUCUCUCUGCUCUCGUUGAGGUACUGGUCGACAGGUUGGCCUCUCGUGAGGUUCUGGACUCCUUCAAAAGCCACAAACUCGAUGAUGGUCUUCUGGAAAAGCUGAAUGAAACACUGAAUACUGUCAACGGACUACUCGACGAUGCGGAGGAGAAGCAGAUUACAAAGCGUGCUGUGAAGAACUGGCUUAAUGAUGUUAAACACGCUGUGUAUGAAGCUGAGGACAUAUUGGAUGAGAUUAAUUAUGAAUAUCUACGAUCCAAGGACAUUGAUACCCCUCGACCUGACAGCAAUUGGGUAAGCAUAAGUUCUUGCACCUAUAGACCUUGCUUCCUCAUAAAAUGUUUUUUUUUUUUUUUUAACUUUCAUGUAUGCUCUCAAGUCUGUAAACGAGGAAAAAAUAAUUUUAGGGAUGGUUGUUGUCUUUCUGUGAGUUUUAAUUAAAGAGUAUUCAUUGUUAUGCAUGCAACUAAUAUCAUUGGCUUUUGGUGUCUAUGGCGUAAUUAUGCUUGCAAAUUCUCAUUUAUUAAUUAGUUUUCUAGACAUUUAAUCACUAUCUUUUUAAAACUUGAAUUUUACUGCGUGCAUUAAGUUAGCAUCAACAAUUGUAAAUUCUUGAAAAAGAUCUGUAGAAAGAAAACUUAUUAAUUCUCUAGAUGUAAAAAUCUUAAUGUUUAUGUUUUGAUAUUAAAAAAUUAUAAUGUUAUCCUGAAUUCUAUCUCAUAUAUUUAGUCCACCAUUGCAGGCAAGGAAUCUGGUUCCAUUUCUAAAUCCAGCUAAUAGAAGGAUGAAAGAGAUUGGAGCAGAGUUACAAAAGAUCUAUGAGAAGCUUGAACGUUUACUUAAACACAAGGGUGAUCUGCGCCACAUAGAAGGUACUGGUGGAUGGAGACCAUUGUCAGAGAAAACAACUCCACUGGUUAAUGAACCUGAUGUAUAUGGAAGGGACGCUGAUAAGGAAGCCAUAAUGGAGCACUUGCUGACACAACACAAGACAGAUGGCCCAAAUUUAGUUGUGGUUCCUAUUGUGGGCAUGGGCGGGAUUGGUAAAACCACUCUUGCUCAGCUUAUCUACAACGACGAAAAGGUAGAUCAGUUCUUCCAACUCAAGGCCUGGGUCUGGGCUUCUCAACAAUUUGACGUCACCAGGAUUAUUGAGGAUAUUAUUAAGAAGAUCAAAGCAAGGACUUGCCCCACCAAAGAACCAGAUGAAUCCAAAGAACCAAAUGAAUCUCUAAUGGAGGCAGUGAAAGGGAAAAAACUUCUACUUGUUCUAGAUGACGCGUGGAACAUCGAGUACAAUGAAUGGGAUAAAUUACUGCUACCUUUGCGGUAUGUGGAGCACGGAAGUAAGAUUGUCGUGACAACACGGGAAGAAGAUGUAGCAAAAGUCACGCAGACUGUCAUCCCCUCUCACCGCUUGAAUGUAAUAAGCGAUGAAGAUUGCUGGAAGUUGUUUGCAAGGGAUGCAUUUAGUGGUGUAAAUUCUGGAGCAGUCUCACACUUGGAAGAAUUUGGCAGAGUAAUAGUGAGAAAGUGCAAAGGUUUACCGCUGGCAGCGAAAACUCUUGGGGGUCUUUUGCACUCCGUAGGAGAUGUCAAGCAAUGGGAGAAGAUAUCCAAUAGCAGUAUGUGGGGUUCGUCGAAUGAAAACAUCCCUCCAGCUCUAACAUUGAGCUAUUAUUAUCUCCCUUCACACCUGAAACGUUGUUUUGCUUAUUGUGCAAUAUUUCCCAAGGAUUAUGUAUUCAAGAAGGAUAGAUUAAUCACUGAAUGGAUGGCACAUGGUUUUCUAGUCCAGCCCAGAGGCGUUGAGGAGAUGGAAGAUAUAGGUGAAAAAUACUUUAAUGAUCUUGUCUCCAGGUCACUUUUCCAGCAAUCCACUGGUGAUUCUUUUUUCAGCAUGCAUGACCUCAUAAGUGAUUUAGCUGAAUACGUGUCAGGAGAAUUUUGCUUCAAGCUUGGUAUUAAUGAAUCGGGCUCUGGGUUGGAGAGUGAACAUUCAUGCUCGCUUCCAGAAAGGACUCGUUAUUUAUCAAUCACUUCAGCGGCAGCAUAUGGCGGAGGACUUCGGAUUUUUCGUAGCAUUCAUGGAGUCCAACAUUUGCGCGCCUUGUUUCCACUGAAGUUUUUUGUGGAAGUUGAUAUUGAGGCACUGAAUGACAUUUUGCCAAAUCUUAAGCGCUUGCGAAUGCUAUCUUUAUGUCAUCCAAAAGAUAUUUCUUCUCAGUUGCUCAAUUCCAUUGGCAACUUAAAACAUUUGCGGCACUUGGACCUUUCUCAGACAGUAUUUAAACGGUUGCCCGAAAGUGUGUGCACCUUGUACUAUUUGCAAAGCUUAUUGUUAAAGGAGUGCCGACUUCUCAUGGAGUUGCCAUCCAACCUUUCCAACUUGGUCGACUUACAACAUCUUGAUAUUGAAGGGACAAAUUUGAAAGAGAUGCCACCAAAAAUGGGGAAACUCACGAAGCUUCGAAUUUUGGAAUCUUACAUCGUGGGAAAAGAUAGCGGGUCUAGCAUGAAAGAGUUGGGGAAGCUCUCACACAUAAGGAAAAAACUUUCUAUUCGGAAUCUCAGAGAUGUUGCAAAUGCUCAAGAUGCUUUGGAUGCCAAUUUGAAGGGUAAGAAGAAGAUUGAGGAGUUGGGGUUGACGUGGGAUGGCAGUACGGAUGACACACCACACGAGAGAGAUGUACUUGAGAAAUUGGAGCCUUCUGAAGAUGUGAAAGAGCUUGCCAUUAUUGGUUACGGGGGUACAACGUUUCCAGGCUGGCUUGGAAACUCUUCUUUCUCAAAUAUGGUAACGUUGCUUCUUUCUGGAUGUACGAACUGCAUCCUCUUACCACCAUUGGGGCAGCUGCCAUCUCUAGAAGAGCUCGAAAUUGAAGGAUUUGAUGAAGUCGUGGCAGUUGGUUCUGAGUUCUAUGGAAGUGACCCUCCAAUGGAGAAGCCAUUUAAAUCCCUCAUAACAUUAAAGUUUGAGGGGAUGAAGAAAUGGCAGGAAUGGAAUACAGAUGUAGCUGGUGCUUUCCCUCAUCUUGAAAAUCUCUUGAUAGCAGGUUGUCCAGAGUUAACAAAUGGCUUGCCUAAUCACCUUCCUUCUUUAUUGAUACUUGAGAUUCGAGCGUGUCCGCAGCUUGUGGUUUCAAUUCCAGAGGCUCCCCUGCUCAGAGAAAUCAAUGUAUCUGAGGGAGAUGAAAGUCGUAUAACUGGUCGUACGUCGUCCUAUUAUUGCUACUACUUACCAGAUCAACCACCCAAGUGCCUUCAUUUUAGACGAGAUCCCCAGCUAACGGGAAUGGAGCAAAUGAGUCAUUUGGAUCCCCGUCUUUUCACUGAUAUCAAAAUCGAGGAAUGUAGUUCAUUUAAGUGCUGCCAGCUAGACCUUUUACCCCAGGUCACCACACUUACCAUUGAACAUUGUCUCAAUCUGGAAUCCCUAUGUAUAGGCGAGAGACCUGUCCCUGCUCUCUGUCGUCUGACAAUCAGUCACUGUCCUAAUUUGGUGUCUUUCCCCAAAGGAGGACUAGCUGCCCCGGAUUUGACAAGCCUUGUGUUAGAGGGUUGCUUAUAUUUGAAGUCGUUGCCGGAAAACAUGCGUUCCCUCCUACCUUCCCUACAGGAUUUGCAAUUGAUCUCACUUCCAGAAGUUGAUUCGUUUCCUGAAGGAGGUUUACCCUCCAAUUUAAACACACUUUGCAUUGAAGAUUGUAUCAAACUCAAGGUAUGUGGUUUGCAAGCACUCUCUUCUCUUUCAUACUUCGAAUUUAGUGGGAACGAUGUGGAGUCUUUUGACGAGGAGACGUUGCCCUCUACUCUCACAACCCUUAAAAUCAAACGUCUGGGAAACCUGAAGUCUCUGGACUAUAAGGGGCUUCAUCACCUCACCUCUCUUCAGGGAUUGGGUAUCGAGGGUUGCCCUAAGCUUGAGUCCAUAUCAGAGCAGGCGCUUCCCUCCUCCCUUGAAUACCUUUAUCUCAGAAAUCUAGAAUCUCUGGACUACGUGGGGCUUCAUCACCUCACCUCUCUUGACACAUUGAAGAUCAAGAGUUGCCCUAAACUUGAGUUCGUAUCAGAACAGGUGCUGCCCUCCUCCCUUGAAUACCAGGGGCUUCAUCACCUCACCUCUCUUAGAAAUUUGAGUAUCGAGAGUUACCCUAAACUUGAGCACAUAUCAGAACAGGGGCUGCCCUCCUCCCUUGAAUGCCUUCAUCUCUGUAAACUGGAAUCUUUGGACUACAUUGGGCUUCAGCACCUCACCUCUCUUCACAAAAUGAAGAUCGGGAGUUGUCCUAAACUUGAAUCGUUGCAGGGGCUGCCUUCCUCCCUUGAAUUCCUUCAGUUAUGGGAUCAGCAAGACCGGGACUAUAAGGAACUUCGGCACCUCACCUCUCUUCGCAAAAUGAAUAUAAGAAGGAGCCUUAAGCUUGAGUACCUUCAAGAAGGCACACUUCCCUCCUCCCUUAAAGACCUUGAAAUCCAGGAUUUGGAAGAUCUGGAUUAUAAGGGGUUUCGGCACCUCAGCUCUCUUCGUAAAUUACAUAUCUGUAAUUCUCCUAAGCUCGAGUUCGUGCCAGGAGAGGAGCUGCCCUCCUCCCUUGUAUCUCUUAAAAUAUCAGGUCUGAUAAAUCUGAAAUCUGUAAUGAGGCUUCAGCACCUCACCUCUCUUCGCAAAUUGAUUAUCCGGGAUUGUCCUAAGCUUGAGUACUUGCCAACAGAAGAGCUGUCCUUACCCCUAGUUCCUGAUAUUAGUGGUUGUCCUUUUGUAGAACCGAGUUGUUGCAUUAGUUAGACCAUGUAUCUUACCCGCGCUCCGCGGCCGAGCGAUUAGUUAUAUAAUUAAAUUUAAUAAAUAGGUUUUACAAUACAUUUUUAAUAUAAAAUAUUUUUCAAUAAUAAAUAGAAAUAUCUUUACAUACAUUAGUAAUUAGAUCAAUAUUUCAUAAAAAAAUAAUUAAAAUUGAGAUAUUUAAUCUUAUAAUAUGAAUCAUGCAUUUAGUUGUGUUUAACAAUUAUAUUUCCUAGAUUUUUUUUUUUAAAAAAUACAUGGGUCAAACUAUAUAAAUAUAAUAACCUUGUGACAUGAUUGAGAUAAUUUUAUAGAAAAAAAAGUAAAAAAAAAAGAAGCACAAAUACCAAUUCCAAAAAAAAUUACAUGUUGAAGGAUGAAAUUAAAAUAACACAAGAAUACUUGAUUUCACAUCAGGUUCAUGCAUUCAGCUAUGUUUAAUAACUUUGUUUUUUAGAAUAUUUUUUUAUUUAAUCAAACAAUUAUCUAUGCAAAUAAAAGGUAAAAAAAAUCACAAAUGAAAGCAAAUAAAAUCAAAUCAUGAAGCUUAAUUAUAAAACAACUCAAUGUUGAAUGAUGAAUUUUUUAAAAAAAUAAUUAAGAAAAACAAAAAAAAUAUGAGUCAACCCUCGUUAAUCCGCUAACAUUGCGACCAUUGGCAUAUGAUUGGAAUAAACCCAUAGAGAUGAAAGUGAAAGAAAAUAAAUACAAAGACCAACUCUCAGAAAAAUUAAAUGUUGAAGGAUGAAAUUAAAAAAAAAAUACUAGAGUCAAAUCAUGUUAAUAUUUGAAACUUGUAAUUGUGAUCAUGAGACCAAGACUACUCAUGUAUGAGUCAAACCCAAAAAAACAACAAAACAAAUUUCUCAAUAAAAAAAUAUCGAGGCAUGAAACUUUCAAUAAAAAAAAAACAUGAAAACAAUAUGAAUCAACCAGGGUUAACUCGCUAACCCCGUGACCAUGGAAACAGAUCGGGAUAACCUUAUUGAAAGUAAAGUGACAGAGAAAAGCACAAAGAACAACUAUAUAAAAAAUAAACGUUGAAGGGUGAAAUUAAAAAAAAAAGAUCAUUAACCUUUAAAACUCAUGAUCAUGAUGUUGGGACUAACCAUAUAAAAAACAACAUAACAAAAUUCUCUGUAUAAAAAAGUUGAGGCAAGAAACUUAGUAAAAAAAGCAACAUAAAAUAUCUGAGUCAACUAUGUAACCACGAGUAUAUAAUUUAAAUAAUCUUAUAGAAAGGAAAGAAAAAACAAAACAUGAAAACCAAUUUCAUAAAAAUUAAAUAUUGAAGAAUAAAAUUGAAAAAAAUAAAUUUCUAUCAUUAAGAAACCAAAAUCAACCCGUGCAAACCUUUAAAAGCCAUGUCAAAAAAAAAAGCUAAGUGAUGAAAUCUUUAAAAAAAACCAAUAAAAAAAAUUCAAAACAUAAUAAAUAUAAGUAAAAAAAAAUAGAGAUCAAAUUCGAUACUAAAAAUUAAAAAUCAAAUAAAGAGGAAUAAAAUCGAAACAAUAUCUAAUUAGUUGAAGGAUUUAAAAAUAUCAAAAGAAAUAGUGCUAAGUUUUAUAUAAAAAUAAAAUAAAAUAAAAUGAUUAGAGAUAAAUAGCAAUGAAUACUAUUUUUAUAAAAUAAAAAUUAAAAAAACUGUAGAAAAACACAAUAAAAAUAUAAAAACUAUAUGUAAUAUAAGUGUUAACCGCACGUAUCAAACAUUGGUUCCAAACAAAACUAGAAAAUAAAAAAACUAGACACCUGCAUCAUCACGUCCAAACCUGCCUAAAAGGCAGAAAAAACUGCACAUGCAUUUGCAAUACCAUGCCACAACCAAAUCAAUCUUACCAAAAACAUCCUUUAUUCAUCAUUAAAGGUCCUCUUGUGAACAAAACAUAAAAACAUAGUGAAAACAAAAAGAUUGGUUUCAAUGGCAAAUGCAUAAGCAAAAAAUAUUCAAAUCAAUGUAGAAAUCAUAAAGAGAGCAACGGAAGGACAAAAAUCGAUCAAAAAACCCUCACUGACAGAAGAAACAACACACUUUCACCUCAUGUGUUCUCCAUCGGUUUGUUUAAGAAAAAAAAGACGAGCUGCAGCAUCACCACCUCCAUCCUCUCUCAUAAGCUUCUUCUUCUCCAAUGUGCAUACCUUUUUGGUUCACACAUGUUCUAUGCCUCCUCUCCCUCUUCUAAAUCAUGACUACAAGUGAAGAAAACAACUCUAAUCCCACCCAAAAACAAUGUUCUAAUACCAAAUUUGAUAUGAGACAAAAGAGAUUUAAAGUUAAAGAAGAGAAAAAAAAAGUCAAAGAAAGAGAAAAAAAACUGAUAAAGACUAAAACCCUGAUUAUAACAUAUAAUUAAACUUAUAGCCCACUAAAUAAAAUAGUAAAAACAAUAAUUAAAUCAAAUCCAAAAAAUAAUGUAUGAUUAAUAAAUUUCAACUAAAAAAUUAAAUAAAUUAAACUAAAAUAUAAGUUGAAGCUCCAUCUCUUAAUGAUUUGAGCUACCCUCCAUCAUUUAUAAUCAUACAAAUACGUAAAUAGUGUUCUUUCGAGUCCGUCCCUACCACUUAUAUAUAUAUAUAUAUACAGAGAAUUUAAGUCUAGUAUUUGAACGGUUCAUAAACCUCGAUCCAUCAUGCGAUUUCUCAAGAUGACGUUGUUAUAAUUUCAAAAAACUAUUUACAGAAGAUUUAUCUUCAAGGACAAGAGUUGAAUCCUUAAUAUUUUACUUGUCAUAACUUAAUUUUGGCCCUUUGGUUUUUAAUUUAAUUUUUACAGGGUUUAAAAUGAAAAUUUAAAAGAUCAGAGAUUUAUUUCGAUGAAAAGUGUGAUUUGUCAAACUUCCGUGAAAAUUAAGGAUUACAAUGUGUUUUUGUCAUUCUAUCUUUAUCUUCAAGAUAAUCCCUAUCUUCAAGAUAAUCUUUAUCUUCGAGAUAAUCCUUGUUUUUAAGAUAAUGAUAGUUAUCCGAUUUCAAAUUUGAUUCUUAAUCAAAUUCAAACUUCAAAGAAGAGAAUGAGUUUGAUUGAAACUUGGUUUCUCACACGCGAAAGGACUCUGACACUAUAAAUACAGAUUUCAGGGUAUGAAAAAAAGAAGAGAGGAUGAUUAGGGAGAGACCCUAAAGAAACAGGGAAAAAACCCAGGAAAAGGCCAUUGUAAAAGAGAUUUAAAGUUAAAGAAGAGAAAAAAAAAUCAAAGAAAGAGAAAAAAAACUGAUAAAGACUAAAACCCUGAUUAUAACAUAUAAUUAAACUUAUAGCCCACUAAAUAAAAUAGUAAAAACAAUAAUUAAAUCAAAUCCAAAAAAUAAUGUAUGAUUAAUAAAUUUCAACUAAAAAAUUAAAUAAAUUAAACUAAAAUAUAAGUUGAAGCUCAAUCUCUUAAUGAUUUGAGUUACCCUCUAUCAUUUAUAAUCAUACAAAUACGUAAAUAGUGUUCUUUCGAGUCCAUCCCUACCACUUAUAUAUAUAUAUAUACAGAGAAUUUAAGUCUAGUAUUUGAACGGUUCAUAAACCUCGAUCCAUCAUGCGAUUUCUCAAGAUGACGUUGUUAUAAUUUCAAAAAACUAUUUACAGAAGAUUUAUCUUCAAGGACAAGAGUUGAAUCCUUAAUAUUUUAAUUUUCAUAACUCAAUUUUGGCCCUUUGGUUUUUAAUUUAAUUUUUACAGGGUUUAAAAUGAAAAUUUAAAAGAUCAGAGAUUUAUUUCGAUGAAAAGUGUGAUUUGUCAAACUUCCGUGAAAAUUAAGGAUUACAAUGUGUUUUUGUCAUUCUAUCUUUAUCUUCAAGAUAAUCCCUAUCUUCAAGAUAAUCUUUAUCUUCGAGAUAAUCCUUGUUUUUAAGAUAAUGAUCGUUAUCCGAUUUCAAAUUUGAUUCUUAAUCAAAUUCAAACUUCAAAGAAGAGAAUGAGUUUGAUUGAAACUUGAUUUCUCACACGCGAAAGGACUCUGACACUAUAAAUACAGAUUUCAGGGUAUGAAAAAAAGAAGAGAGGAUGAUUAGGGAGAGACCCUAAAGAAACAGGGAAAAAACCCAGGAAAAGGCCAUUGUAGAAACCCUAUAAAAAAAAAUAAAAAAAACAUUUAUAAAAAAAAAAAGAGCGCGGCCGAAUCCUUAACUAGCCGCCGCACCCUCCCCCCAGCUUUUUCCUCUCUUCUUCCCUGGUCCCAAACCAGCUAUUAAACGCUCCUAUUCAUUGAUUUUCUUUCCGCCAAUCUCAACGCCAAGGAGCUGCAACUCCUCAUAAAAAUAAAAAUAAAAAGUCUUUCUCCCUCCCAGUCACCGACCUUCAGCCUCUCUUCCCCGCUCUCACUCUCCCCGUUAACCACCAUCCUUCAUCUCAGCCUCCUCACCGAGAACACAAGCCUCCACCCAUCAAUCCUCAGCCACAGGGAAACCGAAGGAAACCAUACACAGACAGCCCUUUCACUUCCUUUUUCUGCGACCGAUCGAUCCCUCAAACUGACCACACACGGUCUUCUUCCCCCAUCCGCAAUAUUUCUCUUUCUUCCCUAGCCGACUACCAUGAGCAACGGAGAAGCAGCACCCGAAGACCCAAUGGUUCCAGCCACAGGCAGCUGCAAAAACAGAGAAGAGUUUUCCUCAGAACUCAGCUGCAGCAGCAAAAGUCGUGUGGUGUAGUUUUUUUUCCUUCCUCCAGCGGUGCAGUUUCUUCAUGCACAAGAACCGUGAGGCUCCAGCAUGGCAGCCAUGGACUGUCUAGCCUCCAUUGAAGUAACGCUUAGAAGCACUCUUCUCGCCAGCCUUUGCACCAGCAGUGAACAUCAGCAGUUUUUUAGCUCCAACAGCCACUCCUCUCUCCCCACCGUGCUCUUCCUGCCAGCGUCCACUAGUUCCUCGAUCGGGAGAAGAUCCUGCUCCACCGGGGUCAGCUUCCUCUUUUCUCUUCCGGCCGUGGCUCUAGCCAUCGCUAGUGUCAGUGAGUCGCUUCCCCUCCUGUAUUACAAUUCACGUUAGUAGCUGUGAAUUAUAGUUCACUUGCUACUGUAGCAACUGAACUAUAAUUCACUUGCCUCAACCGGGUCACUGGCUUAGGCCAGUGACCAGACCGGGGAGGUUGGGUCUACACAGCCAUGCAGGCUGGGUCAGACCCACCCAAAAUAAAUAAAUAAAAAAACAUAAUAAAAAAAUAGUUUUUUUUAUUCAGAUUUUUGUGGGUUUAUUCACUGGCGUCAGAGUCAGGAAUUAUACCGUAUUUUGUGGAUUGCACAAUAUUUAUCAACGCCAGAGUUGGAAAUAUUCAUAGUUCACUGGCGCCAGAGUCAGGGAUUAUACCGUAUUUUGUGGAUUGCACAAUAUUUACCAACUCCAGAGUUGGAAAUAUUCAUAGUUCACUGGCGUCAGAGUCAGAAAUUAUACCGUAUUUUGUGGAUUGCACAAUAUUUACCAACGCCAGAGUUGGAAAUAUUCAUAGGUAAAUAUUCAAUGAUGUCAGAGUUGGGGAUAUUAUAGGAUGACCAUAAGAACAGAACACAAACAAACCUUUAGCAAUUUUAGACAAAAUCAGCAAUGCAGCCUGCCUCAGGCAGGACGCUUAAGGGGUGAUAGCAUCUUCCCUUUCGCGUAACCAAUCCCGGAUCAUAAAAUCUCUAUUGACCAGUUAGGGUUCCUAGUGACCAUAAUACUAGGUGGUGACUCCUUAAACAAGACCUUUCCCCCUAAAAGAACAAGAUGUCAGAUAUCUGUUCUUAUUCCAUUUGUGAUUAAUUUUUAAUCAGUCGUCGCGAUGUCCGGGUGUGACAUUACUGUCAGUUCUAUUUAUGUGCUUGAUAAAGUUAAUUAAUUUAGUUAUAUAAUUAUCUUUAUCCUAUAUAUUUAUUAGUUUGUAUACAUGAAGUAUAUCUUAAUCACGUCACAUUAAAUCAAACGUUAGCAUUUAUAUGCCAACAUUAAUAGUGAUAAAGUUAAUUAAUUCGAAGCUUUUACAUACAAAAUAUACUUUGAAAAUCACUUUAUAAAUCUCAUAAUGGUAAUAUCACAUUAAUAGUGAAAGAUCUACGUACUCAACCAUGCAUGAUGUCAAAAGUUUUCCUUGACGAACAUGCCACGUCACUUUUUCAUUUACUUAGCUAAUCUAUUUCCAUAAGAAGCAAAAGAUUCUGUAUAAAAUUUUUCUAUAAAUACAUUUUGUAUUUUAAUUUUUUGUUUUAAAAGUGUUUUUAAAAGAAAUUAAAAUUUUUUAAUUUUUUUAAAAGAACUUUUUAUAUUUUUAUAUUGUUGAAUAUGCUGAUUUUAAAAAUAAAUUCUAAAAAUUAAAAAAUAUAUUAUUUAAAUAUAUUUUGAAAAAACAACUGUAUUUUUGCAGGAAAAACACCUAUAAAUUAACAUUUUUAGCCCGUGACGGUGACAUGCAGUUCUACCCAUGACGGUGGCGGGGAGUCCUGCCAAUUGUACAUGUCGGAUCCUUCUUGCCCGUGACGGUGACGGGCAAUCUCGCCGGUCAUUUCAGUAUGGCCCCAGGUGAAAACAUUUGGCUUUUUUUAAUUACAGAAAAUUUAACCAUGUAUAUAUUUAUUUAUAUUUGCGUUCAUGUGCUAAAUUCUUGAAGAACUCAAUGGAUGCUGAAAUUAAAGAUUCUUGGCGUUACAAAUUUUCACUUGAAAGUGCAAAACUAUAAAAUCCUCCAUUGCUUUUGAAUUACAAAUCGUAACCAAUAUUUUCCAAAACCAAACCUCAAUUAAAAAAUUAAAAUGAAAUGAGUUUAUUUUUUUAAAAAAGUAUUUUUUAUUUAAAAAUAUAUCAAAAUUUAUUUUUAAAAUUUUUAUUUUAUUUUUAAUAUCAACACAUUAAAACAAUAAAAAAAUACUAAAAAAAAAUAUUAAUUUAAUACUUUUCAAGUUAAAUAUAAUUUUAAAAUAUACCCAAAUACAAUUUCAACCACAAUAUCCAACCGUCACAAACCCCUUAACUUAACCUAGAAAUUUUUUAGCAGUUAAUUAUUCUAAAAUAAUAUAUAUUAACUGAUUGAUCCUCACACUAAUAUGAAAUAUGAAUAUCUAUUGCUUUGGGCCACUCAUUUUAAAAAACAAAUAGCAAGCAGGGGUAGCAGUUUGAGAAUAGUAGGGAAGGAGGUUCUCUUUUGUAUCGGUUGAAAGUAGUGUAUAAUGAUUAUUUUUUAAUUUUUUUUUUUAAAAUAUUUUAAAAUAAUAUUUUUUUAUUUUUUAAAAUUUAUUUUUAAUAUUAAUAUUUCAAAAAAAACUGAAAACAUAAAAAAAUUAGUUUAAAGUAAAAAAAUAAAAAAAUAAUUUAUUUUAAAAAUAUAAAAAACUAGCUUUUAAUAAUUAAAAUUAGUGUUGUGCCCGCGUGAUAUGCUGCGGGAUGAAUUAAAAUGUUAUUUUCAAUGCUAAAAGGGAUGUAGUCGUCAAUAACAUAUUUUCACCCAUUUAUCAUUUGACAUGUAUUCUUAGGUAGCAUAGAUUUAAAAUUAAAUAUUUUUAAUUGAAGGAAAGUUUUUUCAUUAAAGAUUCUGAUAAGCUGAUGUACAAGAAAUAAAUAUUUCAGAGAAGAAAAAUGUCAAAAUAUUAUGAUUUAUUAUUUAUUUAAUUAUAUAAUAAAAAAAAUAAACAUGUGCAUGAGAGAUAAAUAAUAAAAUAAGAAAAACAUGAAGAACUACAUAAAAGAAGAGCUUGUUUAUGUUAUAAAUAAAUGCCACAAUCUUAAUAAAAAUAGAGUAAAAACCAAACAUUAUAUGAAAAAAUAAUAUCCUGAAUAUGUUUUUAGUAGUUUAAUUCUAAGGAAUUUAAAUUUAAAUUGAGGGAAAAAAAACUUCUUAACAAAAUAAAACUUAUGAUGUUAGUUGUUACACCAACAUUAAACAUGCUCGAAAACAACUUCUUUUUCAAAGCAUGCAAUUAUAUGGAACCAAAUUAAUUUAUAAUUUUUUUAUUUAAAAAAAAUAAUUAAAAAUUUGUAUUAAUAUACUGAUAUCAAAAAUAAUUUUUUUUUUAAAAAAAAUAUUUUAAUAUAUUUCUUACUAAAAAAUACUUUAAACUAUUAUCGCUAUUAUAAUUCCAAACAGUUAAUCAAGCUGAUUGUUAUAUUACUCCUCAUGGAACCAAAUCAAUCCAUAACUUACGAGAUUUAUUGCAACUCUUGCUUACUUUUGUAUUCCAUAACCUAUGCUUGCUUUCAAAUGUGUGUGUGUGUGUGUGUGUGUGUGUCAAAGGCUCUCCCUGUGAUUUUCAACUUUCCUUUCACUCUUAAUUUACAAACAUGUUUGUCGUUCAGAGUAAGUAUCUCAGCUCACUAUUUUCGAGUUCUGGUUCUGCAUAACAGAGGAGCAUGAGAUUCUUAACGCCAGCGUCCAACGUUAACCGAGCAUAGAUAAUUGGGUUUCCGGGACAAAUGAAACGACAAGUCGACGUCAAAAAAUUGUGCUAAUAAAUUUUGCUCUUCUUUUUUAAAUCCUUUUCCUUCAGAAGAUUUGAGGAACGACUUGGUAGAGUGAUGCUUGGAGGAGCAAUAUAAUUCUUUUUUAAAUCCUUCUCCGUCAUAGAUCUAAGACAUGGAGAAAUUAAAAUUAAUACUUGAAUCCAAGGUUGUUAAAAAUGUUUUUUUAACACCAUACGAAAUAUAUAAUAUAAACUCGGAUGGUAAAAUUAUAAAUAAAAUAUUUUAACUAAUUAUAUAUUAACAAUUCCAAUCAAGUAGUAAAUAAUAAUAUAACACAAUUAAAAUAAAAGUGAAAUAAACAAUACAAAUAUUCAAACAUCUUAAAAUACAUGAUUCAAAUAAAAAUUCAUACAUGGUUUAAAUAACUUAACAAUACAAUAUAACACAAUUAUGUCCAUAGAAUUUCAUUAACAAACCUAAAACAAACAAUUUGUUGGUGUGUCUUGUAACUAAACACAACCUCAUUACCUUUAUUUUCCUCAUGAUUCCUAAAAUAUUCAUUAAAAUAAUUACUAUCUAAAAAAUUAUUAUUACUACUACUAAUAUCAGCAUCGAUAUUGUGAACAUUAAUGCUACUACUACUAAUAUAAAAAAUUGAUGAUGAUCUAUCUCUUCUUUUAUUUUCUAUAAAACACUUAUUUAUAUUUAAAUUCAACUUGAUUUUACCGGUCAAUCCAAUAACUUAUUUAUUCAUAUCAUAAUUUAUAUCAAGUCUUAUAUUAAAUUAGAUGAGAGUUAAUUAUAUAUUAGCCAAAAUAAAUAAAAAAUUUAGGAUACCGAAUGUUGAAAUGACAUUUAAAGAAUUAAAUUAAAUCAUCAUAAUUAAUAAUUAUUUUUUUAAAAUAAAACUAUAUAAAUUGAAGGCGAAGUGGCCUUGGUAUAAAAGGAAAGCAAAACAUAAGGCCUCACUGUUUUCAGCCUUUUUCUUACCAAAAUAUCCUCUUCUUCAUUUCCUUUCUCUAACCCCUCUCUCUCUCCCUCCCUCUCUCUCUCUCUCUCAUUUGGGAUCCAAAUAAUAAGAAUUGGCUCCUCCCAGAAGGCGAAUGGUACAACGGGAAAACCCUGCGUAGCAAAGCCAAGCUUGGAAAAACCACCUAAAGCUAAGACUGCUUUUUGGGUGUUGCUCUUGAGAGAGAGAUUAACAUAGUGUGGAAGACUGGAAGUUGUGGUGUUGCUACGGCAAAAGAGGAAGGGGAAAGGGGAGCAGGGACUCGGGAGGGACUCAAGGAGAAUACAGUACACUGUAUUUUGUAAAUUGUAACUUUUGUUAAACUCGUAAACUCGUUCUGAGUUGACCGAGUUAAUCGAGUUUAACCGAGUUUGACCGAGUUAGCUCAUUUUCAAGUUUUGAAUCCAAUUCUACAUGUUAUAUAUGAGUUGACUCGUAAAAUCAUACGAUUUUAUGAGUCAACUCGCGAGUUUAAUAACAUUGCAUGGGUCCUUGAGGUCAAGUUUCCCAGCUGUCUCCCUUGAUUGGUGUUGCAAGGGGCGGAGCUAGAAUUAUUUAUUAGAAGGGUUAAAAUUAAUAUAAUAAAAUAUAAUAUUUAUUUUAAUUUAUUGUACAUGAGUUGUAAAACAAAAUCUGUAUAAUUUAGUUUUAUUCAAAUAACUUACUACAAACAUAUAAUGACCUUAUUAUAAUGUAAAAGGUUUGGAGCAAUACCAAAUUGAGUCAAAGUAAUGAAGUUAAUUUCAUCUUCAAUAUAUCCAUCACUUUAAUGUUGUUAGUCUUUAUAUCUAUCAAAUAUAAACAUACAAAGUAUAUAAGAAACAUUAGCUAAAGCGAAGCAUUAUUUAUGUUUGAUAAACUUUGAAAUAAAAUAAAAAAUAAUAAAGAAUAAUUCUUAUAUAUUUAUUUUAAUUGUGCUUGUCGUUCUUUCAUAAAAUAGAAAUCAUCGAUUAUCAUAUCAAUUGUGAAUCUUUCAACAAUUGCUUUUUCUAUAUAGACAAUCAAAUAGUUUACAAGAAAAUCAUCCUCCAUCCGAUUGUGAAAUCUUGUUUUAACAAUCUUUAUCGCUGAAAAAGCUCAUUUAGUAGUUGUUGUCGAAACAUGAAGAGUCAAAAUAAGUCGAAUCAACCUGUCAACUAGCGGAUAAAUUGUUGAUUUUUCUGUUUCAACCAAUCUUCGACAUAAAUCAACAAUCAAUGACAUGUUCUUUAACUUUGGAUGAUUGGGUACAUGAUUGGAUGACAUGUUCUAAAAUCAAAACUUAUAUCAUGAGAAAAAAUUGAUAAUUUUGAUGGCUUUGCUUAAAACAAAACAUAAAAAAAAUCUAAGUAUAAUCAAAACAAAACAAUAAAAUAUAUCUAAUUAAUUAGAAAAAAAUCACCAUAACAAGAAUUCAAAAAACAAUUGGUAGAACUGGCAGAUUUGAGGAAAAAAAUUAGCAAAAAUGGUAGAAUUAUAUAAAAAAACCUCAUCAAAUUAUUAACAAACAUCUCAAAAUAAAACAAAAAUAGAUUUUAAAUUUAGGUUACCUUAUUUUAUUUGAUGAAAGAUAAAUUAAUUGGUAACUCUGCUUCAAUUUUUUUGUAGAAAAAUUUUACUCAUAAUUUGUGUUUUUAUCGGCUGCAAGAUUUAUAUUAGGGCUACACAAGAUAAUGACUUUAUAUUUUUUUUAAGAGUAAAUAAAAAAUCAAAAGUAAAGUUACAUUUAAUUACUGGUAAUAAGAACACCUGUUUAAAAUAAAAAAAUUCUAUUAAUUAAAUUUUGUAAAAAUAAAGUAAAAUUAUUAUAAAUAACUUGGAAAAUAAUUUAUGUGUGUAUCUUGUUCAAUGAAAGGAACCAUACAUGAAAUGCAACCACCUAGAAGACAGAACAAGCACAAAAAUAAAAUUUAAAAGGAAAACCUGUUUGGCAAGAUUACAAGCACGAUCUAUCUUGGGGGCCCCGGGCCCUGCUCCCCCCUGCCUGCACUGCUGCCUCUACAAAUUCCCGUGGGCUUCCUAUUAAUUAGAUCGAUCUAUUGAAGAACUCCACUCUCCUGUCAUUGCUCGUGACGUAGACCUCUGACGAAAGGUUGAAUGAAGACAAAAAAUGAGCUAGAAAUGCGUGGAAAGUUUAAAGUGUUUUGAUAUUAAAACUUACUAUUAAUAUUUUAUGGAUGUCCACUUGAAGAUAAUUAAUAUAGUCUUAAUUCUUCACUUGAUAAUAUCUUAAUCCUAUUAAUUAAAAUAAAGUCUUAACACCGACUGUAAAUAUAAUAAUAUAAUUAAUUUAAUAUUGCAAGGAGGAAGGCUUCCAUUAUUUUGCGUUUCUUUCUUUGUUUUUUCCUUUGAACCCUACGUGCUCUCUUAUUCUCUCCUUCACGCAAUUAAAAGGAAUUUUGACCAAAAAAAUAUAUAUAUUCCUCGUUACUUUGAAUGAUUAGAAUUCUUGAGAAUAUUGAUUUUAAUUAGUUUAAAAAAAAUAUGAGAUGAAGAUUUUGACAAAAAAAAUAUUUUUUUAAUAAAAUUUAAAUAAUUCAAACUCUUUUAAAUAUUUAUUUUAAAAAUUAAUUAUAAAAACGGUCGAGCUGCCUUUGUCUAUUUUCUCUAUUCUAAUAUUUAAUGCAUCCAUAUUAUCGUUAAUUUAAAUAACUCUUAAUUUUCAGUAUGCAUUUAACACAUUUCUGUAUGCAUUUAUCUUUUGUUUUUUUAUUAGAAAAACCAACUUUUUAAUUUUAACAUCCAUAAUAAUUUUAUCGGUUUAACUGUUUAUAUACUUUUAACUUUAUUGUAUUAAACACAAAAAUUAUCUUUUUAUUAAUGAUUAACAAAUUUAUUUAUACAUAUCGGUUCCUUAAUCGUGGAGCGCUGAUAAAAUAUAAUAUAAUUAAUAUAAUAUUGUUAUUAAUAUAAUAUAAUGAUUAACAUUUUGAAGUUUUUGGGAACGCGGUUUGCACCGCGUUCCCAAACGGUUUCUCCAGCUUCCACGAGUUAUCAUGCAAUUCAGUGGCUUAUUAGCAUUCUACUACCAUCAUUCUCUCUCACAGAAUCACCCUCACCCUCUCGCAAAAAUCCACCAAGGCUCCUGCUUUCCACUUCUCUUUUUCUCUCACGUAUUCCCACCCUCACCCUUUCUGCAAAAAUCCACCAUGGCUCUGGAGUUGAUCGGAGGAUCAUUUCUCUCUCCUGUCAUUCAGGUUUUGGUCGACAGGUUGGCCUCUCGUCAGGUUCUGGGCUUCUUCAAAAGCCAAAAACUCGACGAUGGUCUUCUGGAAAAGCUGAAUGAAACACUGAAUACUGUCAACGGACUACUCGACGAUGCGGAGGAGAAGCAGAUUACAAAUCGUGCUGUGAAGAACUGGCUUAAUGAUGUUAAACAUGCUGUCUAUGAAGCCGAGGACAUAUUGGAGGAGAUUGAUUAUGAAUAUCUACGAUCCAAGGACAUUGAUGCCCCUCGACCUGACAGCAAUUGGGUAAGCAUAGUUCUUGCACUUGUAGACCUUGCUUCCUCAUAAAAUGUCUGUAAAUGAGGAAAAGAUAAUUUUAGGCAUGACUGUUGUCUUUCUGUGAGUUUUAAUUAAAGAGUAUUCAUUGUAUAUUAUAUAUGCAACUAAUAUUAUUGGCUUUUCGUGUGUGUGCUGAAAUUACGCUUGCAAAUUCUCAUUUAUUAACUAGUUUUCUAAACAUUGGCUUUGGAUUUUUAAAAUCUGAAUUAUUUAUAUAAAUUUUGUCAAUUUUAAUUAAAUUAUAUUUUUAUUUGAGACAAAAAUUAAUUUCAUUAUAUUUAUAAAAAUAAUAUAAUAUGAUAUGAUAAGGGCUGUGAAAAUCACUAAUGACAUUUAAUCAAUAUCUUUUUAAAACUUGAAUUUUACAAUUGUAAAUUCUUGAAAAGAUCUGUAGAAAGAAAAUGUUUAUAUUAAGUUAGCAUCAACGAUUUAAUGGCGUUAACUUAUUGCAGGUAAGGAAUCUGGUUCCACUUCUAAAUCCAGCUAAUAGAAGGAUGAAAGGGAUGGAAGCAGAGUUACAAAGGAUCCUUGAGAAGCUUGAACGUUUACUUAAACGAAAAGGUGAUCUGCGCCACAUAGAAGGUACUGGUGGAUGGAGACCAUUGUCAGAGAAAACAACUCCACUGGUUAAUGAAUCUCAUGUAUAUGGAAGGGACGCUGAUAAGGAAGCCAUAAUGGAGUACUUGUUGACAAAAAACAAUAUAAAUGGCGCAAAUGUAGGUGUGAUUCCUAUUGUGGGCAUGGGAGGGGUUGGUAAAACCACUCUUGCUCAGCUUAUCUACAAAGACAGAAGGGUAGAGGAGUGCUUCGAGCUCAAAGCCUGGGUCUGGACUUCUCAACAAUUUGAUGUUGCCAGGAUUAUUAAGGAUAUUAUUAAGAAGAUCAAAGCAAGGACUUGCCCCACCAAAGAACCAGACGAAUCUCUAAUGGAGGCAGUGAAAGGGAAAAAACUUCUACUUGUUCUAGAUGACGCGUGGAACAUCGAGUACAAUGAAUGGGAUAAAUUACUGCUACCUUUGCGGUAUGUGGAGCACGGAAGUAAGAUUGUCGUGACGACACGGGAUGAAGAUGUAGCAAAAGUCACGCAAACUGUCAUCCCCUCUCACCGCUUGAAUGUAAUAAGCGAUGAAGAUUGCUGGAAGUUGUUUGCAAGGGAUGCAUUUAGUGGUGUAAAUUCUGGAGCAGUCUCACACUUGGAAGCAUUUGGCAGAGAAAUAGUGAGAAAGUGCAAAGGUUUGCCGCUGGCAGCGAAAACUCUUGGGGGUCUUUUGCACUCCGUGGGAGAUGUCAAGCAAUGGGAGAAGAUAUCCAAGAGCAGGAUGUGGGGUUUGUCGAAUGAAAACAUCCCUCCAGCUCUAACAUUGAGCUAUUAUUAUCUCCCUUCACACCUCAAACGUUGUUUUGCUUAUUGUGCAAUAUUUUCCAAGGGUUAUAAAUUCGAGAAGGAUGGAUUAAUCACUGAAUGGAUGGCACAAGGUUUUUUAGUUCAGUCCAGAGGCGUCGAGGAGAUGGAAGAUAUAGGUGAAAAAUACUUUGAUGAUCUUGUCUCCAGGUCAUUUUUCCAGCAAUCACUUUAUGCUCAAUCAGAUUUCAGCAUGCAUGACAUCAUAAGUGAUUUAGCUGAAUACGCGUCAGGAGAAUUUUGCUUUAAGCUUGGUAUUAAUGAAUCGGGCUCUGGGUUCGAGGGUGAACAUUCAUGCACGCUUCCAGAAAGGACUCGUUAUUUAUCAAUCACUUCAGCGGAAGCAUAUGACGAAGGACCUUGGAUAUUUCGUAGUAUUCAUGGAGUCCAACAUUUGCGCGCCUUGUUUCCGCAGAAUAUUUUUGGGGAAGUUGAUACUGAGGCACCGAAUGACAUCUUGCCAAAUUCUAAGCGUUUGCGAAUGAUAUCUUUAUGUCAUCUAGAACAUAUUUCUUCUCAGUUGCUCAAUUCCAUUGGCAACUUAAAACAUUUGCGGCACCUGGACCUUUCUCAGACAUUAAUUAAACGGUUGCCCGAAAGUGUGUGCACCUUGUACUAUUUGCAAACUUUAUUGUUAACAGAAUGUCAACAUCUCAUUGAGUUGCCAGCCAACAUUUCCAACUUGGUCGACUUACAACAUCUUGAUAUUGAAGGGACAAAUUUGAAAGGGAUGCCACCAAAAAUGGGGAAACUCACAAAGCUUCGAACUUUGCAAUAUUACGUCGUGGGAAAAGAGAGUGGGUCUGGUAUGAAAGAGCUGGGGAAGCUCUCUCAUAUAAGGAAAGAACUUUCUAUUCGGAAUCUCAGAGAUGUUGCAAAUACUCAAGAUGCUUUGGAUGCCAAUUUGAAGGGUAAGAAGAAGAUUGAGGAGUUGAGGUUGAUAUGGGAUGGCAAUACGGAUGACACACAACACGAGAGAGAAGUACUUGAGAGAUUGGAGCCUUCUGAAAAUGUGAAACAGCUUGUCAUUACUGGUUACGGGGGUACAAGGCUUCCAGGCUGGCUUGGAAAGUCUUCCUUCUCAAAUAUGGUAGCGUUGACACUUUCUGGAUGUAAGAACUGCAUCCGCUUACCAUCAUUGGGGCAGCUGCCAUCUUUAGAAGAGCUCCAAAUUGAAGGAUUUGAUGGAGUCGUGGAAGUCAGCUCUGAGUUCUAUGGAAGUGACUCUUCGAUGGAGAAGCCAUUUAAAUCCCUCAAAAAAUUAAAGUUUGAGGGGAUGAAAAAUUGGCAGAAAUGGAAUACAGAUGUAGAUGGUGCUUUCCCUCAUCUUGCAGAGCUCUGCAUAAGACAUUGCCCCAAGUUAACAAAUGCCUUGCCUAGUCACCUUCGUUGUUUAUUGAAACUUUUUAUUCGAGAAUGUCCGCAGCCUGUAUCUGAGGGCGAUGAAAGUCGUAUAAUUGGGAUAUCAGAAACAUCCAGUCACAGGCGGUGCCUUCAUUUUAGACGAGAUCCCCAGCUAAAGGGAAUGGAGCAAAUGAGUCAUUUGGGUCCCUCUUCUUGUUUCACUGAUAUCAAAAUCGAGGGAUGUAGUUCAUUUAAGUGCUGCCAGCUAGACCUUUUACCCCAGGUAUCCACACUUACCAUUGAACAUUGUCUCAAUCUCGAUUCCCUUUGUAUAGGCGAGAGACCUCUCGCUGCUCUCUGUCAUCUGACAAUCAGUCACUGUCGUAAUUUGGUGUCUUUCCCCAAAGGAGGACUAGCUGCCCCAGAUUUGACAAGCCUUGUGUUAGAGGGUUGCUCAUCUUUGAAGUCGUUGCCGGAAAACAUGCAUUCCCUC
rnacentral:lncRNA from 1 species